rnacentral:lncRNA from 1 species
GUCCAAUCUCCCUUGAACCAAUGCAAGAUCCUGUUACUCUUUGCACCGGCCAAACCUACGAGAGGUCCAACAUUCUCAAAUGGUUCAGUUUGGGGCGCUAUACUUGCCCCACCACAAUGCAGGAGCUCUGGGAUGAUUCUGUUACUCCUAAUAAGACCCUUUACCAUUUGAUUCACACUUGGUUUUCUCAAAAGUAUUUGCUUAUGAAGAAGAGAUCAGAGGAUGUACAGGGGCGGGCGAGCGAACUUCUCGGGACAUUGAAGAAAGUUAAGGGUCAAGCAAGGGUUCAAGCCUUGAAGGAGCUCCAUCAAAUUGCUGCAGCUCAUGCCUCUGCGAGAAAGACAAUGGUCGAUGAAGGUGGUGUUGCUCUAAUUUCAUCUUUGCUAGGUCCAUUUACUUCGCAUGCCGUAGGUUCCGAGGCAGUUGGGGUUCUUGUGAAUUUGACACUUGAUUCCGAAUCCAAAACCAAUUUGAUGCAGCCAGCAAAGGUUUCAUUAUUGGUAGACAUGUUAAAUGAAGGUUCUGUUGAGACAAAGAUCAAUUGUACGCGGUUGAUUGAGAAAUUGAUGGAGGAGAAGGAUUUUCGUCCAGAGAUUGUGUCGAGUCAUAGGCUGCUGAUAGGAUUGAUGAGGCUGGUGAAAAAUAAGAGGCAUCCCAAUGGAAUUUUGCCUGGAUUAAGCCUACUUAGAUCAAUAUGUUUGCUUAACGAAGUUAGGAGCUUGGUUGUGAGCAUUGGGGCUGUUCCCCAGUUGGUUGAAUUGUUGCCUUCUCUGGAUCCUGAUUGUUUGCAGUUAGCACUCUGUAUCUUGGAUGCAUUGUCUUCCCUUCCUGAGGGAAAAUUAGCUUUGAAGGAUUGUGCGAACACAAUACCAAAUACAGUGAGGUUAUUGAUGCGGGUUUCAGAGGAUUGUACUCAAUAUGCAUUGUCCAUAUUAUGGUCAAUAUGCAAAAUUGCUCCUGAGGAAUGCUCAUCAGCAGCUGUGGAUGCUGGUCUUGCGGCAAAGCUUUUCCUUGUGAUCCAAAGUGGUUGCAAUCCUGUCUUGAAGCAAAGGUCUGCAGAGCUAUUAAAGUUGUGUAGUCUAAACUAUACAGAUACCACGUUCAUUUCCAAGUGCAAGCUUACAAGGACAAUCCAAUGAGAGUGAAAGUUUAUUUAAUGUCUUUUGCACAAUCCCUCUGACGCCGAAGGCCUAAUGGAAGCAUCGGUAAUGGUGGUUUCAUGAAUUUGAUCUCCUGUACAUAAGUUCUUGAAUUGCAGUUUGAUUCAACAAGCAUGAAGAUGAAAUACAUUAUGGACAUAACAUAACAUCAACACUUUUGUAUGUUGUGGUAAAUUGACAUCCACUGAUCGUUAGUUCCAUUGCCAAGGCUUUAUUAAAACAAACCCCAUGAAGAAGUGAUGAUGUAAAAUGUUGCUAGUUUGUAUUGGGGUAUAGUUGUUGGAUAAGAAUAUUUUGUAUGGGUAGGGAAAUUUGUGCAAGUAUUUGGAGGUUGCAUCUGCAAUUGCUUAGCUCCGUCUGGGGGGUCCCUGUUUCUCCCAAGCUUUUUCCUUAGUCUCUCCGGGGGGGCCUCCGAUUUUCCUUUUGAUUUAGUGGGAGUUUUGCUUUUGACCCCACAAGUGUAGAGACUUUGGAGUGCCUUUGGCCUACAAUUGUCAAUUCAAUGUGUACAAUGAAAUUAGCUCUUUCAAUUUUUCGUUUGAUCUUAUCCUGCACUGUUGUUCUUUUAUCCUCCGAUAUUAUACAUUUUAAUUAAUUUUAUUUCAUCUGUUACAAUAAUUAUGAGAUGAGGUCCGUAAAAAUCUUUCAUCACUGAUUGCUAGAUUGCUUGUGAUUCAUGAAAGAAGUGUAGAGAGAGAGAGAGAGAGAGAGAGAGAGAUUUUCAGGUCUUCAGCUUUGGUACAGUUUCAGAAGAAUUACUUUAUCAGGGAUGAGUGGUGACAGCUAGAGGCAUUGUGUGCACCUUCUUUUAUGCUUUUGUGGGAGAAAGUUGAGGACAAGACCUAUUGUUGCUUCUCCCUCAAAUCACUGUUGGUUUUGAAAAGAAAGUUGAAUGGUUCCAGUCCUGAAUAGUCUGUCAUUGAAUUACUAUUUACUAACAGUAGACAGUAGUAGCUCCAAAUUAUGAGGCCCUGGCCCUUAGGCCUUGGCUGUGGCAAAAGGGCAUUGAUACUCCUGCAGGAACACAAUGUAACCAUGGGAAAAACAUUACUUGUUAAACAAAAUAGGCUUUACAUAAAACCAAAUUUUGCAGACUGUCUGUUGGAUUUACCAAAUUGAAUUGUUUCUGUCCACUGUCCUAUAUAUUGAUUUAUAGGGAAGCUAUUUCCCCCUUUUUUUGAGCUUUUCUUUUCAUCAUCAUUUUUUUUUUUAAAUACUAAUAAAUUGAAUGGAGAAAAAGCAAAGAAAAGAUCCCAACUUUUGAAACCUUGUGUGUCCGUAAAGCCUAAGGGGCCCCUAGUUAAAGAUUGUCCCUGGCCAUGGCAUCUUUGAAUAAUGGGUUGAAACCCAAAAGCUUGGGGAAAAUAUGUUCACUCUUAAGUCUUAAGAAAGAAGCCUCCUACAGUAAUACAAAGAAACUUUGACCCUUCUGUUAUCUUGAUUCUUGUAUCACAUUCUACAAGAAAAAGAUGGAUUUAUCUUACAAGUAAUCAAAAUUCAUAUUCAGCUAUUAAUGUUAAUUUCUAUUGCAUCUUAAACCAAUUUGUUCAAAAUUUAUUUAAAGUUAAGAAUAGAUAACUUAGUAGUACAAUAAAGUGUAUGGGAGAGGAAACAAACGACUUGGCUAUAAUUACGCACUUUUUACUUUAAUGUGGGACCAAUUUAACCAUGAAAUCUUGUCGAUCCAUGUAGAGUUAACCAUUUAAUUUUUUAAUACUUCAUAAAUAUAUUCACCUUCACCAGACGUGGAGUUACCCAUAGACCAAUAGGUGCUACAACCAAAAAAAUAAUAAUAAUGCAUAUGUGUAUAAUAAAAUAUAUAAUCAGCUUUCGGGAUAUUAGUUCAACAAUGUUGUCAAAUGUAUUUUUUUCAUGCAAUGAUAACAUUAUAAAAUUUACAACGUUGUCAAAGGAUCUCGGAUUUUAUAAAGUCUACAGUUGAGUACUUUAUAUAUAGGGUCUUUUUAUCUUACAUGCAUGUAAGAUAUAUUCCUCUCACAUGAAUAGUGUGUGGGUCCCACACAUGCACUAUUCAUGUGAGGGGAAUGUAUCUUACAUGCAUGUAAGAUAGGGUUUGCCUUAUAUAUAUAUAUAUGGGUGCCUCUAAGUUACGUUAAGCGUAACUUACGUUUUUUGUCUUUUUUCUUCUGGCGAAUUUCACACGAGUCCUUGUAUUCUUUAUGUUUAUGGAUGUAUUUGCCUUCUUUUAUCAAUUAUACAUCUAUUUUUCAUUCUUUCCAAUGUUCUUUUUAUUUUUUUAAAUAAUAACAUACGAUUAUCAAAUGGCCAAACCUAGGUUACGUGUAACGCAACAUACAUUCAAGAAGUGAAAUAUCUAUUGGCACCCUUGAAUUUUAUGGAAACUACAUUAAUUGAAUUAAAAUGGUAAAUUAAAAUAUCAAAUGGUAUCUAUUAAUCAGAAUUAAUCAGAGUAUAUGUUGAUAAUGCCCUUUAAUCAGAAUUAAUUCUUAGGAAUGAUUUUAACGGUAAUUCUGAAAGCUAUUGCAUGUUAAUUUUGAAGUCUGUCAUGUAUAUUUUUUAUAUUUUUAUAUAAUUUCUCUUUAAUUUAAUUAUAUAAUUAAAUUACAUGCAAUAAACCUACAAUUCAAGACUAGGAUUAAUAAAUUUAGGACCAGAAGUUUAUUCUGAAUUUAUAGAUUUGUAUGAAUUUGAUAAUCAUUUAAUAAUGUUUUCACCGAGAGAAUUCAUUGCACAUAUGAAUUUUCUCUCUUUCUACCUGUCCUCAAAGGGAUGCAUAUGAUGCCUCAAUAACACCCGUGAAAAUAUAGAAGGCUACAUAUUUGAAAGAAAAUAUGAGAUACUUGAGAAAGUAAUUAUUAAAAAUGAAUUAGUGACUUAUGGAAAUGCUUGUACGUGUAUAGGGGCGGAUCUAUCAUGAUUUGUGGAGGCUUAAGCCCCAGUUCAGAAAAAUAAAUUCUAAAAAUUAAAAAGAAAAUUAUUUGAGUUUCCAAUAGCCCCCGUUUAGUUCAUUAAAAUAUCUAUCAUUAAAUAAAUAAAAGAUAGCCCCGUAAACUCAUAAAUUCAUAAAAUUAAAUCCUAACUUGUAAAAAUUAUAAAUACUCAUAUUUUAAUUGAAAAAAUAAAAGCUCGUAGUAACCUAUAUAAGUGAUUUUACUAAUAAUUAAUUUAACCGUAUUAAAUCUAUAAAAAUAACCUCUAUAAACUCAUAAAUUCAUUAAAUUUGAAUUCUUACAUCUUUUUGUUAUAUAUUUUAGCCUGAUAAAUCAUUUUUUUUAUCCACCAUUAUAAAGCUGGUAAGCAUUGAAGGCUUUUUCUUUUCUAUGAAAAGCCUUUACUUGGCCCAUUAAGGCCCAAAUUAACAAAAUCCUAAACUUUGCCCACAGCGACAAAAGCAAAGUAGGAGGAAUAGGAAGCAAUAAGGACCGCCCUCCCCUGUUAAUCACGUUCAUGUUGUCAGUUUUCACAUGAGUAAUUGUGCAUUCGUGCCUGUGCAGGUAGGAAUAGAAAUCUCUCCUGAUUCGAGCAUUACUGAGUUUUUAAUAAUCUUUUAUUAUAUGUCUUUUAAUAAUAAUGUAUAAAUAAAAUUUAACUUCUUUUAUAUUUUAAUUUAUUAACAAUCAAUCAGUGAUUGAGUUAUUUACUUAAAAUAUGAUCUGAUUAGGAGAAUUUUGAUCCGUACUGGAUACUGUUGAAAAUUAACAGUCUCCCUUUACGUACAUAUAAAAAGGGGCAAACCCUAUCUUACAUGCAUGUAAGAUACAUCCUCCUCACAUGAAUAGUGCAUGUGUGGGAUCCACACACUAUUCAUGUGAGAGUAAUGUAUCUUACAUGCAUGUAAGAUAGAAGGACCCAUAAAAAAGAUGUAGUACUAGUAUUACCAGUACUGUACCACUAUCCCUUGUGCUGUUUUGGAUGCUUAUGAGGCUAAUUAUGGCAAAUGAAGUGAGAAUUAAGCCAAAAAAAAAAAGAGAGAAGAGAAUUGAAUUGAUGGUUUUAAAACUUUUUAAAAAAAUUGUUAAUUAUAACUAUUGAAUUUAUGACUUUGAGGGUGAUUUAUGCAUAUAGGUGGGGCCGUUUUGAUAAGACAUGGGCUAACAUUUUUGUCGUUGGUGGAGCCCUUUUGAAUGACCGUUCAGCGGCUGCUUUCCUUGUCUUUGAAAAUUGAGCCCAGCUAUUAUAUUUUUAUUUAAUUUCUGCUCUGUGCUGACCGCUGUAUUGCCGUUGGAUUAUCGUGUUGUUACAGUAAAACUUUACUAUAUUCGUAUCAUUCACAUCAAGUUAGUUUCUUCUAAUUAUUAUUAUUAUGAGGUUAUGAUUUAAUAAGUGUAUAAUUAUAAACAAUAAUAUUUUAAUAUAGUUAUUAUUUAUUUAAGCGAUAUAAGAGUAAAGUGGACAUUACAUUAAUAAUUAAUCAAAGAAAUAUAUAAAAUUCAAUGUAUAGAUAUUGAUAAAAAAAAGAGAGAUAUAGUUUUAAAAAAUCUAUACAUGCAUCAUUGUAAUAUUAUGAAAAUUUAAAUAUUUACAAUCUAUUUAACGCUUUUCUCUCAAUAUAAAUUUCAUAAAUAGUUUACAUCGUAUAAAUUAUUAUUCCAAAUAACUUAAACAAAUUAUUUUGUUCCAUUUUAAACUUCCCUUAUUAUUUUGUUCCAUUUUAAAAAAUUAAGAGGACGAAUGAAAGAAAAAUGAAAGAAAAAAGAAAGAAAAUAAAGGAAAUUAAAAAAAAAAUUUAAUUUUAAAAGACCUCAUUUGUAAUUUAUUUUAACUAAAAUGCUUAAUCAGAAAUUAAAUUUUUUUUUGGGUUAAUGUCGUUUCAGUGAUAUAUUUUUUCACAAAUAUCAAAAAGUUGGUAUAAUUUUUUAAAAUAGGCAGAUAGGUGAUAAAUCGUUAAUUAUUUGCCGUUAAUUGUUACGACAUAAAGAUAAAAUGGAAACAAUUGAUACAAAUGAUAAACAACAAAUGGUUAAUGUCACUUUAGUGACACAUGCUUCGACAUCGAUAAGGUGAUAAUUGUUUGAAAAUACUUUUAUAAGUGGCAAACUGUUAAGUUUUGCCAUUAAUUCUGACGAUACAAAGAUGUUAUAAUUGAUAGGAAACAUGAGGGAAAGCUAUUGAUAGAAUGGUGUUGGAAAAUAUAUUGAAUACCUUUGUUGUUACAGAAUUGGGCAUAUAGAUUGGUUGUUGUGAAUAGGACUUUGAAAGAACAUAUUUACUAUGAACAAGACUUUGAAAGAAUAAAUGUGUAAUAUCCUAGGUGAAUCUCACAUCAACAAAGCACAUGAGAAAUGCUGUGUUUAUAAGGGGUGAUCUACACCUUAAUUGGCAGGACGCGUUUUAGGGUAUAUGAGCGCCCCAAGAACAAAACCAUGCAGGUCUUGUUAAGACCCAAAGCGGACAAUAUCUUGCUAGGUUCGAGUUGGGUCACGACAGAUGGUAUCAAAAUGGCUCUGUGUGUCCUCUUGAGCAAUGGUGGGGCAAACCUCAGCGAUGACACUGAGUUCCUAAGGGGGUGUGUGUGACACCCUAGACAAAUCCCACAUCGGCAAAGCACGGGAGAAAUGCUGAGUUUAUAAGGGGUGAUUCACACCUUAUUUGACAAGACGCGUUUUGAGGUGUAUAAGCGCUCUAGGAACAAAACUAUGCAGGCCUUAUUAAGGCUCAAAACGGAUAAUAUCUUGUCAGGUCUGGGUUGGGUCAUGCAAAAUGUUCACAAAGCCAUUAUCUAGAAUUCUUGAAGAUUUGACAAAAAUGUUAUAAUUGAUAGGAAACAUAAGGGAAAGAUAUUGAUGCAGUGUUGUUAGAAAAUAUAUUGAAAAUCUUUGUUGUUACAUAAUUGGGCAUAUAGAUUGGUUGUUAUCAAUAGAACUUUGAAAGAACAAAUGUUCACGAAGCCAUCAUCUAGAAUUCUUGAAGAUUUGACAAAGAUGUUAUAAUUGAUAGGAAAAAUGAGGGAAAUAUAUUGAUAGAGCGUUGUUGGAAAAUAAAUUGAAUAUCUUUGUUGUUAUAGAACUAGGCAUAUAGACUAUAGGACUUUGAAAGAACAUAUUUACUAUGAACAAAACUUUAAAAGAACAAACGCUCACGAAGCCAUCAUCUAGAAUUCUUGAAGAUUUGAGUCUAAUAUUUACAAAAUUAAUGCUAAUGAGAAUUCUAUGAGCUUUUUUAUAUUUGUUGAAAAACGUAUCACUCAGGUGACAUUAAUUAUAUUUCUUUUAGGCCUAUUAAGUCACUUUUCAUUGUCAAUACUUAAUGUGAUAGUUUUUUAUAUUUUUAAUUUAAAGGGUAAAAUGGUAUUAUAGAUUAUUAAAGUCAAUUAAUUGAUUGAUAAUUUAUGAGUGAGGCUAUUUAAGCCGACAAAAAUACUCUCUAAAUAAUUUUUUAAUUUAAAAUAUUAUUACUCAAAUACCAUAAAGUAAAAUUACUUAAAAGGAUAAGAAUUUUUUUAAAAAAAAAAACUCUCUGAACCUAUUUUACAAACCGAAAUUAUCUUCUCUAAAAGAAAAUAACUCUAAUUCAUGUGCAAUUAUAUAUAUUCGCUCUGUAUACAAAUCAUAUUUCAAAUUUUAAUUAUUGCAAUUAUCAGUGCCUCGCUAUUGAAUAUUGAUAGAUAGUUAGGCAAAUAACCAAAUCUUUCAACUUCUUGCUCGUUGGCGCAGCCAUGUCGGUAUCGAAACUAACGAAAAUAAAAGUAAGUUCAUGCCACGAAUUUGCAGUAAAAGAAAAUUCUCCAGUGUUUUUUGUUUUUAUGAACCAUUCAAAAAUUAACAACACUUAAAUCAUUGAUUGUUUCACUUUUAAAUUAUAUAUAAUAUCUUUAAAAAAACAUAUAUUUUAAUAAGGAUAUAUUGGGUAUAUGGAUGGAUUUAUAAAGCAAAAGAUGAAUUUUUAAAUUUUAUUAAUGGGUUUUUUGAGUAUAUGGGUUUGUUAAGUAUUUUAGUGGCUUCAAAUAUUCUCACCCAUGAUUUAUAUGUCUAAGGCAAUGGCUAACAUUAAGAUAAGGUUAAAAUUAAUUUUGUUGGUUUUCAUUGUGGUGAUAUUGUAAAUAAAAUUUGUGAUUAUUAUAUUUAUUUUAUGAAUUAAAAUACAAGAAAAAGUUAAUUUAAUUCUUUUAAAGUUCUGUUACUAAUUUUUUCUAUAAGAGGUUUUUACUUUUUAUUAAUGGAUUUAUCUUUGUCAUCUAACUUAGGAUAUGUCGUACCUCAAGGGAUAGAAUGAAAAUUAUCAUUCUGAACCCCACAAAACUGUCUGUUAGUACAUUUAGUUAGGGUUGAGGGUAUUAUGGUACUUUAAUAAGUCAACAUCAACAACAGUUAAAUUUAAUAGAUUUUAAAGAUUAAAUUGAAGGAUUUCAUUCUAACGGGGUAAGUUAAAACUUAAAGAAAUAGUAUUUUUUUUUAUACCGGUACAACAAUUUUUUUAAUAAUCAUUUAUAAAAAAUACCAGCCAACUUAAGGCUACAUUUUAUGUUCUAUUGUCUUGUUAAUAAUUAUCUAUAAAAUUUAAAUUAUUUAAUUAACCCUAAAAGUAAAAUAAUAAUAAUGAAUUUACUUUUAUUUUUUAUUUUUAUUUUAGUACUAAUUUGAUAAAUUAACUUUUUGUCUUUUUAUUAAUGUCACUAAGGAUAUUAUUACAAAGGUAUUAUUGUAAAAGUAAUAAAAAAUAAGGGAAAGAAUGUCACAUAUUUAAUAUUAGAGAAAUUUUGUGAUACUUUUUAAAUUAUAAUAAUUAAACAAGUACUUAAUUUAAAAUAUAAAGAUUAAAAUAACAUUUACUCAAAAUAAUUCCUACUUAAUGACAUCACUACCUUGCAGAUAACUGGAUUUUCCACUCUCACACUUCCUUCUGCAUUUACCAUAGCAUACGUGCCAAACUUUUUUUUUUUUUAAAUUUCUUUAAUGAGCAAAAUAUCCAGUUAGCACUUGGCAGUAAAAUUUUAAUCUUUGAUCAUCCAUAUCAUAGCUUAUAGUUGGAGCGUGAGUUCUAAUUGAAAGUGUGUUCGGUAGAGUUUUUCCUUUUCAAAAUUGUCUUCUAAAAAUAAAAACAUCUAAAAUGUCUUUCAAUAAUUAAUACUGUAAAUUUAAAAGAAAAUGAAAAAUUGUGGAUGGAAACAAAUACUAGACAUGUCAACUAGUAUGAGGUAUUCUAGAAUAUAUUAGCGUAUUAUGUUAGUCAUACAAUAAGUAAAUGAUGUUAUGAUAUGUGUAUUUAUUUUAAAAACCUAAGUAAUAGUUAUAUUAAAUUGAAUUACAUAUAUUAUACAUGUAUUAAUCGAUUAUAUUACUUCUAAUAUAUGUUAGAAUUUUUAAUUAACUACACUAUGUGUCAAAGGUGUGUGGAUCAUUGUUGAAUGAUGCAUAUAAUUUUUUGAAAUAAAAAAUUUAAAAUAUAUACUACUCUUUUAUUUGAUACGAGUACAACAAAAUUUAUUUAAAAAAUAAUAAUAAAAUUAUCUGAUUGGAACGCUUCAAUUAACUUUUAAAUAAAGGUUAUGGCUGUUUUAGAGUUUCUCUAAAAUAAAGUAUGAAUCAUAACCGCACACAUAAAUAAUAAAUAAUAAAAAAAUUAUUAUAAUUUUAAUAUUAUGAUUAUGAAAAAAAUAUUAUACCUUAAAAGAGGACCGUUACCGACCCUUUACAUAAAAUAUCGAAACAAAAAGCCGUAUCCCUUAAAUUUUUGAACUCGUGUGCAAGGUUAGUACUCAGUAAAGCUGCUUUCGAAGUCUAGCAUUGAAAAAUGAUUUGGCAUCUUUAAAAGUUAAAAACAAUAACUGGGAUUUUCAAGGUGCUUCGAGACUUUCUAGAAGUAGUCCAGCUGGACCUGAAAAUCCGAGCAGAUUUUUUUGAACAAAAGGGCAUUUUGGGUCAAAGAAUUCAUCCUCGGAUUCGAUGAUUGCAAAGCGAAAUAAUGAAAAACCGAGUCAACAUUUCCGGAGAACGCGAUUGGUUUACGAGAUAUCGGAGCCGCUAUGCGUGACACACGUGUAAACGUCGUUGGCCCGUGGGAUUAUUUAAGAAACAUAAAUGAGAUGUGCAAUUUUGUAGAAAGGAUUGCACACUGUUGGUACGUCAUAAAUAUUAAACAGCGCCGAGCUGCCAAUAAAUUGACCGGUCACCAGUCGUCCAAUUUUUUAAAAUUGUUGAAUUGAACGACAAAUAAUUAUAUGCCCCUUCAUUAAAAUCUGGAUUUUUUUUUAAUGCUUAUACGAUUUCCGUAUAUUUUUAUAAUCUUUAAAUUACAAACAGUAUAAUACCGUUCAGAAAUCUAUCAUUUAUUAAAAUAAAAAAUUUACUUCUAACUUACGUACAAAGAAAUAUUUAUAUAGUCAAGAGAGAAUCAAGAAUACCCAUGCACUGAGGUCUACAAGUCCAAAUGGCCAUUAAAUUUGGAUUAUAAUAAUAUAUUGAGUUAUGUUGAGUUACAACUUAUGUAACUUUUUUUCCCUCUCGCCAACCGCAACUUUUUUCAUCUUUUGGGUGUGCAAUCUCUCUCUCUCUCUCUCUCUCUCUUUAUUUUAAAGCUUGGAAUACAACUUCUUGUAGAUUUACUGAAUUCUAUCAAAAUUAUCCCAUCAUGACUAGAUUUGAUCAUAAACCAAAAUUACAAAAAAGAAAAGGCCCAAAUUUUAUAAAGAAAAAUGAAUGAGGUGAAAGCUGCUUCAUGAAGUCAAAAACAAACCCAUUCUAAGUUUUGAAAUCAUGCAUGCUAAAGAUCUCUUAGGCUGUGAGCAUAUUUAUUUGUUUAUUUUCUAGAUCAUAUUUCACAUAAAACUGUUAAAAAGUUUGGAAAUGCAGAGUGUUUCUGACGGAUUUUCGAUGAGGAUAACAGUGUGUACAAAAAGACAAAUAAUUGGCGGGCGUGCGUGCGUGCGUGCGUGUACUGAAAGUUGUAACUUUACUCAUUCAACUGAAAUGCAAAGACUGUAGUAAAGUAGAAAAUGAUGAAUGUUUUCUUAAUUUGGUAAACUGACGCAAAUAGCAAGAUAAUCAGACAGGUGUUGUUGGCUUAAGGCGGCGAUAGUGAUGGCAACGAGAAAGGCCUAUCUAAUUCUCCAUCCCCCAUUAAAAAUUUCAUUUCCAAUCUCCAUCUCAUUUCUUAAUAAAUUUAAUAAGAUAGAGAUAAAAAAUACUCGCAUAAAGAUUCCUAUCUCUACCUCAUUACUCAUUUAUUUAUUUUAUAAUAAAUAUAAAUAUAUAAUUUUAAUAAAUUAAAAAUUAAAAACUUAAAUAAAAUCAAUACUAUAUUAUAAAAUAUUUAAAUUAUUUUAAAAAAAAUUCAAAUAUUUGAAACAAUAUCUUAAAAUAAUAUCAAAAUUGAAAAAUAUUUAAAAAGAGCAGUAUCUUAAGAGAGAAAAAAAAAACAUAACAAUAUUUUAGAGUUGAAUAAAAAUUAUAUUAUAUGGUUUUUUUUUUAAUUAUAACUCAUUUAUAUCAAGUAAAAAUAAAAAGAACAUUUAUUAGCCAACACUAUAAUUGAUGAAAUAAAAGUUAUUAAAUAAAAAUUAAAAAAAUAUUUGUAUAUAAUGAGGAUUGAGGUGGGAGUGUGGUGAGGAGUGCAAAACUAAAUCACACCCUAUUAAAAAUUUAGGAUUAUUUUUCCUCAAUUUCUCAAAAAUUAUUUAAAACUCACAUCAUUUAAGGUGGAGCCCCGUGAGACCCCAAACCCAUAAAAUUUUUUGUCAUAAGUAGGCGGCGACUACAAUAGAUAAUUACUUGUAUGGGUGACAGCUGCUACCAUUGCUCCAAUAGUCUAUAACACAUUAGACGUCAGUGUUCACUUUUUUCUUUUUAAUACUGCUUUCAGAGCUUAUUGAGUUAAAUAACUUCUUGGCAUAAAAAUUGUUGUGUUACAUCAAUAAUAAGUGGAUAUAUUAAAUCUGGGAGUUUAUUAAGAGUCUAAGUGUAUAUAUAUAUAUAUUUGUAGUAUAACUUAUAGUCUUAAAGAUCUAUUAAACGAACAUUAAUUUGUAGUAUAACUUAUAGUCUUAAAGAUUUUAUUAAGAGUCUAAGUGUAUAUAUAUAUAUAUUUGUAGUAUAACUUAUAGUCUUAAAGAUCUAUUAAACGAACAUUAGUUCAAAAUUUACUCUUAAUAAUAUUUGAGAAAACAUCUAUCCUAACCCAAAUUUUUAAGAAAGAAAAUGAGAUUAGUCCCCCAGAGAAUUUGGAGGUGUGAGUAGGACAAGCACUGGGCCAUAAGCUCCAGUGGCAUAUAAAAUGCUUGAUUGAAGCUAGGGUUUCCGAGAGAAGGAAUUAUUCACGUGUUGAAUUUUCCUUUUUUUUUUUUUUUGAUUGAUUGGUAGUGUUUAUCAUAUGAUCAAUGAUAAUAUCAUAACGCGCAUGUUUAUAUCCACUAGGAGUUAGGAUCUGGUUUAAGUUUUCUUGUAAAUCACCGGCAUAGAAGAUUGUAAUCAGCACACUGAUUAUCAAAUUGAAUUGGAUGGAUCCAAAAUAACAAUCGAUUGAAUAGACUUGUCCGAUAUUAGACCAAACUACAAAAUGAUCUAAAUUAGCAUUUGCUCUGAAAAUGAAUAUACUGCACCAACAAACGCGUAGAUCAACUAGCAUGUGGUUGUUCUAGCUUAAUCAAGGUCCUCGGUUCGAGUAUUGGGAAUGCAGCUGCGUUAAAUACUUAUUGGGAGAGCUUUGCCGCCCUAGUGGUCCUACCCGGCUCGAAGUUGGAUUAGUCGGGACCCAAUGUGAUUUUCGAAUACCAAAUGAUUUAAUACACCGAAAAAUAUACUGUAAGAAUUCUUUUUUUUUUUUCAGUUCUGUUUGACUUUGACCCUUCAGAUCCAGAAAAAUCCUUGAAGUUUUACACCCAUCGUAGCUUAAUUAAAUGAAAUGCAAGCAAAUAAAAAAGGUUUUGCACCCAAUGGAACAAAGAAACAAACGUAUUGCACUGCAAUGAGAAGCAAAUAGAAAAUGGUUUUUGUUAUCGUAAUAAUGAAAUCUGGUAGCUAAUUAACGUUCAGUUGCGUUAGCUCGGUCAAAGGGCACACAACGAGUCGCGACAUUUAUCUUCAAUUGCACGAGUUGGAUUGUGUCGCUGUUAAGAGGCGGCUAUAGCACCUGGACACAUUACCAAAGCGAUGACCGAAGGGAAUACGAAUUAAUAGUAAAGCGCACCAGCUGCGGAGACUAUAGGGUAAUACUACGGAUGGGACCCUAUAUUUUAUUGUUCAUCAACAAAAUUGGUCAAAAAUUGAGCACUUUGACUACGCUGUUGUACCAUGUCAGCAGUCACAUCUGUGGCGGCCGGUCUCAAAUUUUAAUUAAAAAUAAAAAAAACUGAUAUUUAAAUUUAUGGGUUGCCUUGCCUUCUCAACGGUUGCAUUAAUAUCUCUUCGUUAGCUGUUUCUAUAUAAACAAAGUCCAAGUCCAUUAGGAAUCACAUGCAUAUGCUCAUAUUUACUUAUUAAUUACUAACAUGGAAGCUUAUACUUCGUCUUCAUCAACAGCAGCAGCAUACAUGAUCGGGAACAAAGAGGAAGCAAUUAGGGGUGUGAGAGCGGUAACAACAACAAACUCUUCUUAUCAAUCGUCGCUUCAUUCGGUUCGUAAAUCCCCGUUAAAGACAGUGAAGAAGCCAAUAGCACCGCUGCCACCGACACGACCAAAAGUGUACAAAGUGGAUCCUGUAAACUUCAGGGACUUGGUACAGAAGCUGACAGGUGCAUGUGCAUAUGAGAAUGAGAGUGAGAGCCAGCAGCCGCAGUCUCAGCGCCUGAAAAGCGUGGCACCCCCACCGAUUAAUGUUUCCAGUUCCCGAAGCCCAUUUUCAUUUUGUGGUGGAGAGUUUGCACCCCAACAGCUGCUUCCUUCACCAGCGAAGUCUCCAUUCUCUGCUUUGUACAAGGAUUUGAUGUCAGAAGUAUCAUCAUCGGAUGCCAAACCUCAGAAGUUAUCAGAUUGUGGAAUAGCAUCCAAUUCACUGGGGCUGAGCUUGUCGCCAUCCUCUUAUAAUUGGUUUUCUUAUCCUCUCCUGAGUCCUGCAAGUCUUUCCACUUUGUAGCUGAGAGUAGUUCUUUAGUUUCAGAUCCCCUUCAGGAUUUCAUUUCUUUUUUCUUUUCUUUUUUACAUCCUACAAUAAAAGUGGUUGAUCUCCGUCACCUCGAUCAAUUUGUGCAAGACAACCUUGGAUUGUAUUGACUUCACAACUUCUAAUUUAUUCAGCAUUAUUUUCGAAAUUAUGACUUUUGAAUUAUUGCUUCAUUUUCAAUAAUUAUUGUAUGUAUGUAUGUAUGUAUGUAUAUAUAACAUGGAGAGAGAGAGAGAGAGAGAGAGUUGCAUGAGGCCAAACAGAUAAUUAAGAAGUAGCUUUAGACCAACAAGCGCGUAGAUCAGCUGGUAAAGGGUUGUUCUAUCUUAACCAAGGUUUUCGGUUCGAGACUUGAGAAUGCAGUUGUAUUAAAUACUUAUUGGGAGAGCUUUACCGCCCUAGUAGUCCUAUCCGGCUCGAAUCUGGAUUAGUCGAGCCCUAAUGUGAUUUUCGAAUAUCAGAUGGUUUAAUAUACCAAAAAAAAGGUAACUUUAGAAAUUAAUCUCUUUAUGUAAGACUAUGUUUGUUAUAACUUUUCAAAUAAUUUUUUUUAAUUAGAUAUUUUAUUAGAAAAACCUUUACAAGUAAAGUUUUCACUAAAAAAAAUUUCUUUGUCUAGUUGUUAAUAAGAGAAAGUUUUCUAAAGUUAUUAUGAAAUGGAUGAAAUAAAAUUAUAAAAUAAGCAAAGUUUUCACCCAAAAAAAAAAAAGAGUUGAGCUAUUAGCACCUCUUUAUUGUUCUAAUAAAACACCUUUAAGAUAAAAUUACAUUAAAGGACAUUUAAAAAAAAUUAAACCUAUUAUUAUUUCUCUUUCCACCAAUUCUUUACACCACUCCUGCGAAAUUUACCUUUUCUUUUUUCGGCCAACACUUUUGUAUUCAUCAUCCAUCCUGUUAUGCUACUGUAUUAAUAUAAUCUCUUGCUAAUUUCAAGAUCGGAUGAAUAUAAAUAGCUUAAGAAUUAGCAACCAACAAAAAGUUUUUUGAAGUCAAAUACACACAAAUUUUGUAAGGAUAUCUACAAUUCACUCUUGCGAAAUUGGUUCAUGGACAUCCAAAAAUUAGAGUUUGGCUUUAAGAAAUUUGAGAUGAAUUUGUUCUAUUAUUCAUUUUUUGUUGUAGUCCUGAUGAAUUUAAUUUUAUUAAAGAUAGGAAUUAAGAAGGACAGAAACACAUCAAUUAAAGUUGAAAAUUGUAAACUUGUAGGUUAUCUUAGUUCACACGACAAUAAUUGCCACAGAAGCAAAAAUCUUUUAUUUGCAACACCUUAUGAAUAAUGAUUACCCAAUUUUCAGUGCAUAAACAUCAAGAACAAUCUCUCUCUUUCUCUCUUUUUUAAUAGUUUUCUUAUAAGUCAAUCAUUUCCUUAAGGAUUGGUUUUAAACUCUAAAUUAAAAUGUACAUUUGAUUGAAAUUAAAGAUAAGAAGACUGAUGGAAAGAGAACGAGAAACAAGAUACCUGUAUUUCAGAUUUUAAGAGAGAGAAAGUUAUUUAGAAUAACUGAAAUAAUGAUAUUUUUUGAAUUAAAGAGGGUGUUAAUAGUUAUGAUGAAUUUUCUAAUAUUAUUAAAUGGGGUACGCUUAAUAACAAGGUUUUUAUAAGAUGUAAGAGGGGUGCCAAUAGCUCCACUAAAAAAAAAUAAUAGUUGUUUGAUUGCUAAUAACAGCUUUUAUUAGAAUUGUAAAAUUACUUUAAUUAACAAGUUUCUCAAAGUUACUUUAUGAAAGAAUCAAAUAAAAUUGUCAAAUAAGUAAAUAAGAUUUUAGAAAUUAUAAUAUUUUUUAAAAAAAGUUUUCAACCUAUCCUCAUAAAAUGUUAAAAUUUGAGCUUUUCAAUUUCAACUGAAAAUUUGAACUUUUGCUAGUAAAAGGAAAAUAACUUAUUUAAUUUUCAAAAGCUAUACUUAAAAAACAAACAAAUAAUAACGUGAAAUUUAAAAAGAAUUUAUAGGAUUAAAUAGACAAUUAUAACCAUUUAAUAACUCAUACUAAUCAGACACUAAGGCUAUGUUUGGUGCAACUUUUCAAGUAAAGUUUAUUUAAAUAGAGCUUUUAUUAGUAGAAUUACUUUAAUAAGUAAGUUUUUUAAAGUUAUAUUAUAAAAAGAACUUUAAUAACUCAUACUAAUCAGACACUAAGGCUAUGUUUGGUGCAACUUUUCAAGUAAAGUUUAUUUAAAUAGAGCUUUUAUUAGUAGAAUUACUUUAAUAAGUAAGUUUUUUAAAGUUAUAUUAUAAAAAGAACUUUAAUAACUCAUACUAAUCAGACACUAAGGCUAUGUUUGGUGCAACUUUUCAAGUAAAGUUUAUUUAAAUAGAGCUUUUAUUAGUAGAAUUACUUUAAUAAGUAAGUUUUUUAAAGUUAUAUUAUAAAAAGAACUUUAAUAACUCAUACUAAUCAGACACUAAGGCUAUGUUUGGUGCAACUUUUCAAGUAAAGUUUAUUUAAAUAGAGCUUUUAUUAGUAGAAUUCCUUUAAUAAGUAAGUUUUUUAAAGUUAUAUUAUAAAAAGAAUAAAAUAAGAUUGUCAAAUAAGUGGAGGAUAUAUUAGGUAUUCUAACAUUUAAAAAAAAAUUAAACUUCAACUUCUAAAAACCCAAAAUUUGAGUUUUUUCUUAUAGAGGUAAAAUAACUUAUUUAAAUUUCAAAAACUCUACUAAAAAAUCAACCAAAUAACAACAAAAUUUUGAUAGCUUAUGAGAUUAAAUAAGCACUUAUGACCGUUAGAUAAGUCAUACCAAACAUGUACUAAAUUACAUGCUAUCUUUUUUUUUUUUUAAUGCUAUAACAUUAAAAUAUUUGGUAAAUUUUCAAAAAUACUACUGUCACUAAGUCACAUGAUCUCUUACUUUUUAAGUUAUAACAUUAAAAUAUAUGAAAAAUUUUGGUAAAUACUACCGUCCCUAUUGUGACUUAAAAGUUAAUUUAAUUUAAUUCUAUACUUGUAAGAUUAAAGAAAAAAAACUUAUGGUGUCUUAUUAUCUUUGCUAUUUUUAAAAAUUAUUACUCAAAACUUAUAUUAACUACAUUAAUUUUUAUUUAUGUCUAUUUUAUAUCCACAACCUUUUCUCAUAUAGCAUUUGUAGCUUAAAAAGUUACGGUACUAAACGGGAUCUUCGUUUAUUGUGGUCACCGUCUUGUUCCUUUAGCUGCUUACUAUUCAUAUCCGAGCCUCAAAGGAUGAAGGUGGUAAAUUCGUCACCUUAAUCAUCGGGAUUUUCAUCUUGAAACUUGUGAGGUAUACAUAUACAAUUGUCUUGGAUACUUUCGACAUGAUAAUUAAUUAUUGGACCUGUCUACCUUACAGAUUCUGUAACAUACGCACCCAAUGCACGCACCACACCUGUCCUGCGUAUGGAGAAAAAGCAUGCAAUUGUUUUUGUUUGAUAGCUAGCUAACCAAUCAGGAGCUGGCUAAGUUGGAUCUGUAUGUUACAGAAUCUGUAACUUAGCCAGCUCCUUAAUUAUUCUGUAUGUAUAAAAUAAAGCAAAUCUCCAAUAUACCAAUCUGCCAACUACCCUCAUUAAUGUAAAAUCAUCAAUAUCUCCAAUAUACCAACAAAAUAAACAACUAGCAACCAAUCCAUUUAUGAAUCUCUCAACCGAUAAAGUAUUAAACGUAUUUUUAGGAACACCAAAAACACAACUCCAUACACCUGUGGCUGUAACGCCACCAUCCCACAUCCAUACUGCUAAUAACCUGACCCGACAUACCAUCACAGACAUUCACACUACAAUUAGCAAGUACAUAAAACUUAAUAAUCAACAUUGAAGAUUUGUCUGCCCUGAAAUAUCUAUUGCACAAUUCCUGCUUAGACGUGUAGUAAAACUGGAAAAAGUAGUAGACUUGACCUGAGACAAUGCAUUUAAUUUCUUUGUAUUUGCCGAUGACUAUGAUAUGGUCCAAGGAGUUACUUUAUUGACUAAAAUUUUCAGUUUUGCUUGCAGCAUGAUUAAUCUGCAGAUUCAUAAAUCUCCAAAAUCCACAGAAUAUUGGGCCCUAGAAAUGAAAUUACAUUCUGAAAGCAGAUGGAAUAAGAAUAAUACUGUAAGCCAUAAAAUAUGGUUCAUCUAUAUUUAUAUCUGCUCAGAAUCACUGUACAAGUCUUUUUCCGCAUUUUGGUAGGAUUCAAACAAGUUCAUGAAUUUGCCUUGAAAUCAGGGAAACAGAAGAAAUAAAAGGCAAUUCAGACAGAAAACCUAUGUGUUCAUGUACUAUUUUCAAAUUCAGUUACAUGAGGGUUGACUCUGCUACUAUUGAUCCCAGUAGUUCCGAAGCUGUGACAUAUGCAAAAGAAGCUCAUCUCUUCCCAAACCAGUGACGCUGCUAGUCAUGAUCCAAGGGGGAUGAUGAGGGUAGUUUUCUCUAAUCAGCUGUUGAAAACUCUUGAUGUUCUCAUCGGGCCUUCUUCCUUUUGCCACCUUCAUCUUAUCACACUUUGUGAAAACAAAAGUCAACGGUAUCUGAACCAAGCAGAAAUAUCAAAAAACUCUUAGAAGAUUGAAUUUUCACAUUGUUUCAGUAAGUUAAACAAACCCCUUCUCAACCCUAGUUUAAACUAGAUUGAAACCACAGAUCUGUUAUACCACAGCAAGAGGAUUUAACAGUUGAACCAAUUGGUACCCACUACCUUGUUUCAGUAAGCUAGCAAUAUAAUCUGCAUACCAAUGACACUUAAGAUAAAGAGCAACAUACAUUGUUGCGUCCAAGCCAAUUUGCACAGUCUAGAUCCAUCUUUUGAGGAGGAACACUCGCAUCGAUAAGAAGUAGGACGCUGACCAAAGAUUCUCUAUUUAAAAAGUAGCCUUUUGUGAAUGAGGACCAAUCCAUCCGAGCAACAUCUGGUGCUUUAGCAAAACUGCAAACAAAGUGCACCCCCUAAACAUUAUGUGACUAACAAAUAAUCCAUGCCUUCACUAGGUUUAGUUAAACUAAAGUGAACUAUUAAGCCAAAUUACAGAUUACAGAGUUUUCAAACAAGGCAAACAAACUCCAGAAGGAAGUAAGGUACACACAAACCCCUAAUCUACAAUUGCCAGUAACAUAGUUGAUGAAAAAGACACCCCAGGUAUAGAUCACAAACAUGCAAUUUCACAACACAUCUUCCAAGGUUUACAAAACUUGGUUCAAAAUUCAAGCCAAUUUCAAACUUUAUGACAGAAGCAGAAGAAUAAAUACUAGUGAAGAAAAAACGGAAAUACGACAAUGGACCAGAUGUGCAAAUUAUAAAAAAAAGAACAUCCUCAAUGAACAACAAGGCCUUAACAAAUGAACCGACAUAAAACAGAGACCUGCCAAACAUAUUAUCAAGAGAACUGUCACUGAGAUUUCCAAAGAGUUUCUUACAAUCACAAAAGAAUCCAAAAUUAUUUAAAAUUUGACACCCAACUCCAUUGAUUGAGCUCAUGGAGUGCAGAAAAGUAUUCAUUUUCUUCGGCUUUUUAGAAAUGAAAAAGUCGAUGGUAUUUUUACUCCGUCAGAUCAGUUAUCCAACCAUGUCCACUUAUAUAUUACAGAAACCUACACAGCUUCAAAAAUAGUCUUCUUUCAGACAAAGAUAAAUCCGUGUCUUCCAUCGCAGAAAAGUUAACAUAGGGAAACUUUUGAUAUAGUCAGUACAACAAUGAAAAUAAUGCUUCGUUAGGUCAAUUUCCCUGCACUUAACACAAUUUCAACUAGGAUCAGAUACUGAGGGCAGUAUGCAAGAGAAAUUCUAUCCUAUCUAACCUAUGAAAGCCUAGAAAGCUCAACCCAGCAGAUUCACAAAACUAGAUUAUUAAAUGGAGUUUUGGAUAUAAUUAGCAGGGGAAAAUAUGAAAGCAAUCCUCUUGUUGUUUUUAGACAUUAAACUAGUUUUAAAUUGUAUCUGAAAACUGCUUAUAAGAACUCCUUAGAAAUCCAUUUUCUUUCAACUAUUUCGUACCCCAACGUUCUUUUUUUUUAAAAAUUAUUUCCGCAUACACACAAAUAGUAGGUAAAUUACUUACAAAGACAGAAGAACUUACCCAUAACCAGGCAAAUCCACUAUAUACCAACUUUUAUUCACCAAAAAAUGAUUAAUCAGCUGAGUCUUCCCUGUAAAACUCAUAAUUUAAUUACAACGAACAGUUAAAAAGAAAAAAGUACAUUAAACAAGCAACAAAAGAAAAAAAAAAACAAAAACCUGGCUUUUUGGACGUGAGUGCAAGUUCUUUCUUGCGAACCAGAGCAUUAAUAAGCGACGACUUUCCCACAUUGGAUCGACCCAAAAUUGCAAACUCGGGUCGGUCAUCUUUCGGACAAUCCUUAGCCCGACCACUGCUUUUCACAAACUCGACUUCUUUAAUCUGGGAAUGACCCGCGUAGGGUCCUACUACAAUAUUCGAUCCCGGUAAUAUCAUGUCCUCAGUUACCUCGUCUGGGUCAACACCAGGCGGCACGAAUAGGACGGUCCGAACGAACCGGGCCGUGUCUGAUACGGUUUGUGAUUGUUUUGACGUUUUCGAGGCUGAAGUCGCAUGGGGUCUCCGGUUCUGGCUUCGGGUGGAGAACACCAACUGGGUUUUGAGAGAGAGAGCAAACGGAUAUGGUUUUGGAGAUGGUGAAGCUGAUAAGAGAAGGAACAGACGAUUUCGAAGUAACAUUUUUCAGUGGGAGUUCUUGGGGUUUUGGGGUGGGGCACUGGGGCUAUGCAGACUUAAGCACCGAGACAGAAACGACGCCGUUCCAGCAAUGAAUUGAAAUUGUUGCCACCUUUGCUUCUCGUUCUUACCAUGUUUUUCAGUUGCCAAUUAAUUUGUACCAAUAUUAGCGUUACAUAUUACCCAAGAGUUUACCGAGGUGAACUCAAAAAGCAAUUAAAAUUUUAUAAUUAGAAGUGUGUAUAGAUAUUAACCAUACAUGAGGGGUUGAGAAAGAGUUGUUUACCGUUUGUUUGGUAUGAUUUGUCUUAUGGUCAUAAGUACUUAUUUAAUCUCAUAAAAUUUAUCAAAAUUUUUUGUUGUUAUUUUAUCUUUUUUAAUAAACAUUCUGAAGAUUAAAUAAGCUAUUUUAUGGCUUAAAUUUUAAAUUUUAUGGUUUUUGAGAAUAAGUGGAAUUUUUUUAAAUGUUAAAAUAUCUAAAAUAUCUACUUAGUUUAUAAUCUUAUUUUAUUAUUUUCAUAACAUAGUUUUUAAAAAAUUACUUAUUAAAGAAUUUUAUAAUUUUAAUAAAAAUUCUCUUUGACAAUCAAACAACUAAAUUUUUUUGGGGUAAAAAUUCUACUUAAAUAAGUUUUACUUAAAAAGUUAUAUCAAACGAAGCCUUGCUUGGGGAACGGGUUGUGAAAAAGCUUGAUAUCUUUGGAAUCGCCAUUGUUGAGAGUGAAGAACUUAGUGAUUGAAAUCCUAUAAAACAAUGAUCCACAUGCUUAAAUCAGAAGUUAGAGUGACAUGGUUAGGAAAGAAGAGAGAGUAAUAAGAGGAAGCUUGCAGAUAUUGCACCCUUCCCCUAAUAUCUUGUCUACCUUUGUUUAUACAUUUGAGUGAUGACAUCUUUAUUGAAGAGAAAUAAUUAAGUUAGAAAAACCUAUCUAAUCUUGUAUCAUUUGAGUUUUGUGAGGACUACAACUUGUAUUGUUUGAUCAUGUUUAGAUUAAGACAUGUUAUCAUAUGUGAGUUCUCAUGCUCAAAGGCCUAAUUUAUUUAUGUCAUCAGGUGGAGUUUAGUAAAAAUAUAGGUAUAACAGUGUGGGAUGAUAUUGAUGGCUCUCCACCACAUGCACACAGAUUGCAUGGAUGAUCUCAUCUUACCUAAUUGAUCAGCCCACUAGUCGUACCAGUAUUAGCUGAUUGGCUAUGUUAUUUGAAGGACCAAUUUGUUAAAUCAACUAAGAAAUAUCAGAUUAAGGACCCAUUUGGGAUUGCUCUUGAGAUACUAAAAAGUGACUUUGAAAAAGUUACAAAUUAAUUUUAGUAUUUGAUAAAUUUUUUUACAAAUCACUUUUGUAAAAUAACAUCUUCCUAAAGCAGAUUUUGAAAAGAAAUGAAGAAGUAUCUUUUCAAAUUAAAGAAGUUUGCAUUUGAAAAAAUUGAUUAAUUUAAUAAAAGAGAGAAUUUGAUUUGAUUUGUUAAAUAAACUGAUUCGUUUAUUUAUUUAGGAUCCAUUUGUAUUUUUAGGAUAUUAAUUUUAUGGUUUUUGUCAUUUUAUUUUACUUGAUUUUUGUUCAUCAAUUAUUAUUUUUGUAAUCUAAUCCAUAUUCGAAUUAUUUUGUUAUUAAUUUUACAUAAAAGAAUUAAACGAAUUGUAAAUAAAUCCAAAAUUUAUUCGAUUCAUUUAAUUGUACAUCAAAAAAUUAAACGAAUAUUUGAUUAAUAAACAAAUUGAAUUCGAAUAUAAUAAAUUUGAAUAUAAUUCAUUUAUAAUUUGAUUUAAGUUCAAUUUGCUUAUUCCUUUUGCUACCUUUAGAAGAAACGCAUCGGAGUUUAUUGAGUCAAAUAAUUUUUUUUUUUUUUAAUUUUUGAGGUGUAUGGGCCGAACUCAGGGCUUUUGAAUGGAAGCUCAGGUUUGUGCUCGGCUCAAUGUGGGUUCGGCACACUUGAAGCCCGAGCUCGGACCCUCGUAGACCGGGCUAGAAGCCCAGGUAGCUCGGGCCCCGGUAACCCAGGCGGUGAAUGAGAUUUUUGCUAAAAUUUUCAAUUUAGUGAGAAUUUUCUGAAACUCGAUCAUCUGGUUGAAUUGAAAGGUUUAAUGGCUAAGGCAUCCGUAUGAUGUUUUCUGAUUGAAUUUUGUCCAAUCAUUGAUAAAAUACACAAAGUCACCAAUAAUAACUAAUUCGAAACGACGCCGUAAAGAAGUGUUUUCCCUGGUAAUAGAAAGUUCAACAAAGGGAAUCGCUGGUGACAACUCUCACUCAACCGAAAAUGUCAUGGCUUGCUAGAUCCAUCGCCAACUCGCUUAAGCUUGACGAUGACGACUACGAAGAAGGACACUCACCUAUGAGCAACACCACCACUGCUCCAAAUCAAGAUCGAAAUCAAAAUCAGUCAACGGCCGACUCUCCACGCGGCGUCAAAGAGGACCUGACGGAGCUCACGAAGUCCUUCUCGCGCCAACUAUGGGGCGUCGCCUCCUUCCUAGCUCCUCCCCCGGAGCCGCAAGAACAUCAAACUCAAAUUCGCGAUCAACGCCAGCAGUUCGAUGAAUCUGACCAGCAACCUCAAAUUAGCGAUCAACGCCAGCAGUCCGAUGAAUCUGACCAGCAACCUCAAAUUAGCGAUCGACACGAUCCGGAAGUCUCUGACGAGGCCUUGAUUGAAGGAAUCAAAAGCGAUUUCGCCGAGAUUGGUGGCAAAUUCAAGACCGGAAUCUCGAAAUUGUCGAAUAAUAUUUCUGUUUCGGAGAUCACGAAAAUGGCAUCUAAUUUUCUGCAGUUUGGAUCGGAGGCUGACCCGAUCGAUGCUGUUGGUGUUACUGAAGAAGUGUUGAUGUUUGCUAGAAACAUAUCGCUGCAUCCUGAGACUUGGAUCGAUUUUCCUGUUCCCGACGAUGACGAUUUUGAUGGUUUGUUAUUUCUCUAUCAAUGUGAUCUUAUUAUAUCGUAAUUUUGCUUUUUUGAAAGUAUUAUACUAUUUCAUUCUUUAAUGUAUUUAUGAUUUUGCUUGUGAUAUUAAGGGCUCCAAAUGUAACCAAUGAAAAUGUAUUUUCAAGAGUUUUAGGCGUUUAUUAUCCCUUCUAAGGUGUGUUGUCUUUGGAUUCCCACUCGUAUGCGAUCUGUGAAGCUUGAAAUUCCUUAAGCACAAAUGAAAUUCUAUUAUCAUUUUGAUAGAAAUCUGGUCAAUUAUCAUGGCCAAAUUUGUUUUCCUUUGUUGUUUCUCUUUUACGAGAUCUAUGCCUGACAUUAUUACGUUCUGAACUUUUUCUUUCUAUGCUCAUUUAUACUCAUAUGCCAAGGGCUUAAUAUUCUAAAUGCAAACAGUGCAUCAAACAAGAGUUUUGUUGCUUUUGGCACCUGAGAAACUGAUUUGUUUUAUAAAGAAUCCUUUUGGUUGGGUUAGGUACAAGAGCCACUCUAUUUUCAUUGUGCAUGUCUUUUUCUUUUCCAAGUAAAGCAGUCAUCCUGACAUCAGUUGUGUUUAAUUUGUUUUUUUCAGAUUUUGACAUGUCUGAUGCUCAGCAAGAACAUGCUUUGGCUGUUGAACGUCUUACACCAACAUUAGCUGCUCUCAGGAUGGAACUUUGCCCAGGGUAUAUGAGUGAAAGUUGCUUUUGGAAGAUCUAUUUCGUACUUUUGCGCCCUAGACUCAGUAAAGAGGAUGCUGAAAUUUUGUCAACUCCCCAAGUAAGUUGUUUUGUUGAUACAUUGUUUUGUAUUUCUUUCUUUUAAAAAUCAUUCAAUAUCUGUUGGAUCCAGAGAUGCUCAACUCAUCGGUUUGUUCUGGACUUCUAUAUUACCUACAUUCGAUGUCUGAAGGCAGUUUUGAAUUCAUAUUCCUCUUUUGCUUGAAAUGAUAAGAGUGUUGAUGUUUUUGGGAAUUCUCUCUCACUUGUGAGAUGUUUCUGGAAUUGUUCCAUGAAAAAUUUGUGGUUCAUAUGGCUUCUACACCAGUUCACUGCUCCUCCCUUCUUUUUCCUUUUCCUUUUCCUUUUAUGGGUGGUAAAUAUUAUUAAUGAUUAUGCUGAUAUCUUAACAAUUUUUUAGCCAAAUAAAAUUGUAGGCAACUAAAAUGUUGUAAAAUACAUGGUAUUGAAUUGCAAAAGUACAGUUUUCCUAACAAAACAUGUAGAGCCUUUGUGAAAACUUGACAUGAAUGUCAGCUAACUACAUUCUUUCUGUAUCUGUUCUGAUGUUUUUCCAUUUUAUUUUGAGCUUAUGUUGCCGGUCAUUUCUAAUAGAUGACUGUGAAUGCCUGUAGAUACUGGAGGCCAGAGCAAUGUUGGCGCAAGACCUGCAGAACAGAGCCAAGUCAAAGCCUGAAUCAGUUAAUUCUGAAGUGCCAUCUGGUUCCUACAAAACUGAUGAAAGUGGUGCUUCUUGUUUGGGUGAAACUGCUGAGUUACCCGAGAAAGAUUGCCAUACUGUGCCGUGUCCUGUGCAGUCUGAAUCGGUGCAGAAAUCUGCCACUGAUGGAGACCCUUAUAUUGUAGCAAUUGAUUUUGAAACAGACAAGCACCCAGUUCAAAGUACUGAGGUGCAGGUUGUUGACAAGACUGUUGUCAAGGAAGAGACAGUGGACCUGGCCAAACAUCAAUAUUCACUCUCUGGUUCCUCUGUUGGAGUUGAAGAGAAAUUUGAGGAUGAUGGCGAUGAUUGGUUGAAAGAGGAAAGUUCAGAAACAGUUGGAAUGAGUGGUUCCACAAUGCAUCUGGAAAAUGACGAGGACGUAUCAUUCAGUGAUCUUGAGGAAGAAGACGGGGAUGUGCCUAUAAGUUAUAAGAAAGUGACAUCUGGUUCUGAUUCUUCAGCAAAAGACUCACGGGACUGGGUUCAACUUAGCAGGAGCUCCUCUGAUGCAGUAAAGGAUAUUAAGUCAGUAGGUGUCAACCCCACUGCUGCUCAUCAGGGAAGCGCUCGCAAUCCUGAGUCCAAGGAAUCCAAUGAUUGGCUUGAUGUUGAUGAUAUUGAUGAGAUGUGAUAAUGCCAUACACGCCUUCUUGGUUGUCUAUCAAUUGUUCUUUCGAACUUGUUAAAUGUUAAUAGCCUGCAUAUGGUUUCUCCAGUCCAAGUUAGGCUUUGGUUGCUAUAUGCUUGUACAUAAAAACAUAAAACUCUUAUCAAAAUUGAAUAAUGAUAUGCAAACGAACUAUGCCCUUGUUUUGUUUGUUUUUUCGCAUUCUAUUAUUUGAAUUUUAUGUGCGAACAAUUCAGCACAUUGCAUGAGAUCCCAUUUUAAUUCGAUCCGGCAAUUGCAUACUGUUAUUUUAAAAUCGUUGGGAGAGAAUUGAAGCACUAGAAACAGGCAAUAAUAUGGCGACUUUGAAGCUGAAAUAUUAACCGAAUGAAAGGGUUAUUUAUAUUCUAAAGAUUAAUUUAAACAUUCUAUUACUCUUUACAGUCAUGUAUUAAAUUUAAAAUAUUAAAUUUUAUUUUGUGCACUUAGAAAUUUAAGAAAAAAUCCUUAUUUAAAUUAAUUAUUUUUAUUACUAAAAACACCAAUAAAAUAACACAACGUGCCCAAAGAAAUUUUUUAAAGAUAUUUAGCAUAUAUAUAUAUACUUACAACAAUGGCCAAACAAAAAUUUUUAAAUGCAAUUUUAAGAUAAUUAAUUUUCGUUGAAUUUAACAAAUGAGUUCAUUAUUGAAAUAACUUGCAGUAUUGAUUUUGCCCAAGGAAAAAAACAACGAAAAGAAAAUUCGUGAACAUGACACCGAGAAGAAGAAAGAAAAAGAAGUUGAAUAGGUUCAAGAUCUUUCUUUUUUUUCAUUUUUUGGGUGAAAUAAAAAGGCAAAAAUUGUACUUUUAAUUUUUAAUUAUUUAUAUUUACGGUACUUUUAUUCAUUUUAGUUUUUUGAAAAAUAAAAAACAUCACUCAGUUAUAGUUAAAAUCUUUUAAAUUUUGUUUCAAAUGUUGAAAAUAAAUGUUCAUUGUUUAAAACAAGAGAAUUACAUUUAGAAUAAUAGGUGUUAUAUGAAUUUUCAUAGCAAUUAGGUUAUAUUAGUUCAUAAUAUAUACUCUUAAUGGUAAUUCAUAUGAUAGGUAGUUUUAAUUUUAUUAAAAUAAGGUUGUUCAGAGUAUAUACGUAUGUCCUGCAUUCACAAGAAUUUUCAAAUGAUUCGUGAUUCAACGAACUUUCAAUAAAAAAAGUAUAUUGUGUACGGGUAAUAAAACAUGUCAUGAACAAGGAAUACCAUUUCAUAGAAGUCCUAAGAGAAUGUAGCUUCCGUAGAUACAACGCAAUUUGAGUUGUUUUCUACAAUGAGGCAUAUUAUAUGCCCUUUGUAAACACAAAACCACAUCCAUUCAAGAAUCCAUAUCUUCUUCCAUCACAGAAAACCUCUCAGUUUCAAAAACAUGAUGCAUCCAAACAGGUUCCAGCAACACCUUUGCAUCAAGCAAUUUCUGUCUUUCACCUUCUUGACUUUGUUCUUCAAUUUCUUUCUCGAUCCGAGGAUAUAUGUCAGGCAGAGAGACCAACAUUGCAUCAAGACCAUUCCACUCCCUAUUAUCUGUUCCUAUUAACUUCACACAAACAAAGUGUACAAGUCCCAGAAACAAACCAAAGUCCUUCCUUUCCAGCCCAACCACUGAGCCAGUCAAGAAAACAACCCCAACUGCAUCCAAUAUACAAGGCUUUCCUUUCAGCAAUGGUAUUAUCAGUUCCAUAAAUUUCUUAAACUCAGGAAAUUCCUCUUGUUUAGAAAUCCUGCCAUUGUCCUCGUCUGAAUUCACUUUACUUAUUUCAUCAAGCUCAGUCCUUGCCAAAAUUAAGAGCCACCAUGGAAAAUGGACUUUGAAGUGAUCAGAUGCAGUAAAAUGCACCCCUCCUGCCCGACUCUGAUAAAAUAUACACCCAGAUCCUAGAGCCAGGAUCAGAUCAAGCAGCCAAGCCUUUGCUACUACAACAAGACGUGCAGCAUAACCAGAAUCCAUGUGCAGUUCAACUGAGCAUAUUAGGUUGAUCAGUUCAUUAACAAGAUCAAAAGCUUCUGCGGGGGGUGGAGAAGCUUCACUGCUAUCUCUAAGGCACAGAUUGAUUAACUUGGCAGCAUAGCUGAAGGAGCUCUUCAGAGAGAUAAAAGUUUCUUUUAAGUCAUUGUAGUUGAACAGCAAGUUAUCUCUAGAUUGUUGCCCUAAGGCAGAUAUGACAUACUGUACAUAAGCUGUAGUAAACUUGGCACAACCUCCUCGGAUGUGAGAAAGAAAACCCAACGCUGUGGAAUCAACUAUGAACUUGAGAACUGCAGUUAGCAUGUUCACCUUCUUUGAUGUAAUUUUUUGUCCAGUACAGACAAAUCCUGCAUAAAUGUCAAAGAAUUAUUGCUUUGAGCUAUAAGAAUGAAAAAGGCUGAGGAACAGAAAAUGUGGAACUUUUCUAGCAAGAUGAUUUGAGCUAAUAAUUAUGGGUGCACAAUUGCUCUAAACUGAAGCAGUCAGAGAAUUGGAAUGUUAAUCAGAUGAACCCUUUAGCACCAAGGUCCUAAAUAUGGUAAAACUAUAAUCUCUUUAGCAUCAAAAUAGAUGGUCUCUCCUGGCUUAUCUUUUUAAAAGAAUACAGCAAAAUUGGUAUCCUCAAGUGGACUAAUAAGACAUUUAAACAAAUGCAAAAUUAUCUUAGGUAUCCUCAAGUGGAAUAAUAUGAUAUUUUAAACAAAUGCAAAAUUAUCUUUUCUAGAUCAAGUAAAUUUUGACAAAGUAAGCUACCUCUGUAGCUUAGCCUUCUAGUUGUGAAACAAAAGCAUGGUCUCUUGUCAAAGCAAAAUAAUGAUAGUCCACAAUAUAUACUAUCAGGAGAACCACAGACAAUUAAGCCAAUAGAUAUUCUAGAGAAGCAUGCGCAGAUUUAAUGCAUCUUUAUAUGACCAUUCCAGCGACCCUGAGAAUAACAUGUUUAUUACUUCUCUAUAUAUGAGUGCCACCAGCGCUUUCAAGAAGUUUACAACACAAACUCUGGUGUAACAGAAAGUGUCGGACAACCACCAACAGAUAUGUGUAUCAGUCUUCAACGAAAAACCUGUCUAGUGUAUCAAUACAAAUACAUGUUAUCUACAAAUUUAACUUUAGCCAUCUUCGGAAGAAGUGAAAUUAAGGAUAUUUCCUUUCAGCAUCAAGUCAAUAUCAAACCUAGGCAUCAACAGCUCUUCUCAGUAGAUUACAUGAAACAACUUGAGUGCUUACCCAUGUAAGCAUGCAUUUGGAUGAUCUGUGAACUUUUUCUAUAUCACUUACCAUUGUCAUUAGAACUGGAGGCUUCCUUCUGAAGUUCUCUGACUUUGUGCCCACGACCUUGACGCAUAUUGCUUUUGUCAUGCUUAGAGCCUGGAGAUAAUUUGCUAGGGUUUCCAGAAUCACCGCCAAGCAACUCAUCUGUACAGCUAAGCAGGUGAACCAUUGCCUGGUCUAUCACUGUCUGCAAAAAUGAUAAAAAAAAAAGACAGAAAACUGACAGUUCUUCAUAUCAGCAUUCCUCAAAACCAAACUUAAAGCUGAAGUUUCAGCAAACAAAAGAGUAGUUGCCGUUUCAAAGCAGAGCUUCUUAGAAGGAUCAAACCCUUGACCUAGUAUGAAUUUCUACCAGCUUUCAAUGCUAAUUUUGACUAUACUCAAAACUGCAAGUAUCAAAAUGAUUCUGGUUAACAUGGAAUUGAGAGACCAGCUAUAAUGAUGGCGUCAACUAUUUUCUAUUUUUGGAUUUUAAAAAAGGCAGUAACAAGUAGAAAGCAAAGAGAAACAUAUGACUAAGAAUGUUAAAAUAUUGACCCAGCCUAAUCAAGCAUCAAGCAGGAUUGACACAAGACCAAUAUUAGCUACCAGUAGCUUGGCCAAUGUUGAAUUGGUCGUCAGCUUUCUAUGAGAGUCAUAACGAGCUAAUGACCAUAACAUCAACAUAAGACCAGGUACUUUGGCAUUUUCAAAAUUCAAUUAGAACUAGGUCCAAAACACAGUCAAGAUAAUUUGAAAAUGGUCCCCAGAUAAAAGAUAUUUCAGAGUAGCAUGCAAAUUGUUAGCAUUUCAAAUGGUGCAUUUCAAAAAGAUAUGUUGCUUUGUAGUGAUUUUUCCUUGAAGCAGAGCUUUUAAAACUUGGCAAACAUUUUUUCUUACAGAUAUCUAAUUAAUAUAACAAACAAACAUGCAAUUUCAGUAAGAGCAAAUCUUUAGAAAAGUAAUAAAAGCAAUUUCACAAAAGAAUCUUCAAAAAAUGAUGGAGCAAAAUGAAAAAUAAAACAACUAAAAUAUUGAUUCUACCUUGUAUUGCAAAGACUGGAAUUCAAGUGAAAAACAGCUAAAAGAAUAAAACUUGCCUCUGAACUGGAUCUUGUAGAUUCAGUCCUAUCAUCCUUCUUGGAACCAGAACCACUUGGUCUACUUAUCCCAAUAUUUUGAAGUGUCAAUUCAAGAGCAAGAGCUGUAUAAGCUAAAACAGGAUAUACAUCCAUGUAAUCGCAAUACAUGCAAUGUAGAAUGCUGACCUCAGAAAUGACUUUUAAAGCAAGAAAUAACAAUUCUAGAUGUUGAGACCCCAACACGGCCUUCCUGGAGUCCUCAGAUGUAAGCAAGUCUUUUACUUGCCAGGCUAUUCCCACAGCAAUCGAAUAAUCCUCCUCAAAACUGGAUGCCUUUUUUCCACUUGCAUAUUUCCACUUACCUGAAAUUUUCACUGCAGACUUAGGUUUCUUUCUUUUUACAGAAGAAACAUUAUGCUUGGGUAUUUCAGUGCCAAAUUUAACAUGGCAUCGAUACACUGCUUUUUGCAAAAGCAUGGUUAGAGCUUCAAGCAUAUCAUCAAAGGCACAAGAAGACAGCAAUAACUUGUGGGCAGACCUCACUUCAGCUUGCCUCUCCUCAUCUUCUGAUAAACCCUUGCAUUUACUGAUUAGCCCCAUGCAUUGUUCAAGAAGCCCAACCACAUUGUCCGGGGAAACUGUGGAAACAAUUUCAAAUACAGAAGAUCGAGCACGCCCAGUAGAUGCAGCAGCAAACAAGCUCUUCACUUUAUCAUUGGCAAACAACUCUUUAAGGGCAUUCUUGUAACAUUGCUCACGAGCUAUGUCCUUGCAAAGGUAGGAAACAGCAGCUAGUAAUCCUUCAAUCUGAUCUUCAUCCAGCUUAUCAUGGGACAAGACCAAUCUGAUGAAUACUGUGACAAGUUCCACAAGAGAUUCAAGUGGUGCCCCUUCUGAUACAGCAAAUUCACAGAACCUUGCACCAGCCACAGGAGACCUUUUCACAAUUGUCACACAACGACUGCAUGCCUCUUUGAUAUUCACUUUCAGAGGAAAGUAUGAUGGCAUUAGUAGUCUUGUGAUUUUCUGAGCAACCUGAGAUUGAUCGUUUGCAAGAGCAGAUAGUAAUAUAUCUAAUCCCACCACCUGCAGAAAAGUACAAAAUCUAAAUUUCAAAUAACCCACAUAGGAAAGGUCAUAAAAAAUAGCAACUGGUGAUGCACAUCAAAAUUUCAAAAUUUUGAUACCAUAUACCUUAUUAAACUGGAAAGUUCGAAUAUCACGUAGCAGAAGAAGAAGAUCUGCCAUAGCAAGUCGGACUGAAAGGACGUUAUCCUGCAUCAGAUGCCCCAACCUUGGUAGAAGCACUUUAAGAACUUCAUGUGAGAGAGGGUUGCCUAGCAAAUAAAUGAUGCCAUUCACUGUGGCAAGUCUAACCUCAUUGCAUAGAUCAUGUGAAUUGUCAUCAAAAAUUUUUGUGAUUAUCUUCGUAAUUGUUGCUGAAGGAAUAAGUUCCCAAAAUAAAUGAAGGAUUCGGCAACACCCUUCCACUGCAACAACUCUCACAUCUGGACAAUCAUCCGUGAGUAACUUUUCUAACAAAAAGAACUGCUUAUCAAAUAAUGUAUCUUUAACCUCUUUUGUGGCAUCAGGAUCUUCAAGAGGGAACAAGUCCAAAAGUAAAUGCAAUGCAUUUUGACGAACAUUUGAAUUCGCAGCCUGCAGGAAGAACCAAUCAAGCUCAUCCAUUUUGGUCUAUAUUUAAAUGAAAAAUGUUUCUGAGCCUCCAGAUUCUUUGAGAUUUUUAAUCCAAAGUAACCUAAGAAGCUUUCAAACAAUUACAGGAACAACAAAGAACCUCCAGUUGUAGUAGCUUAACAGAACAAAAGCAUUCAAAUACCUCUGCGUUACACGGUUUUUGAUAGAAAAUAGCCUUAUUCUUCAAUUUGACCACAAGAAUAAGACAUCAAGGGGCCUCAGUUUCCAAAUAUUUACAUUACUUUGCCACAGGGAUUACAUGGAAUCAUUUGCCUAAAUCCAUGCAGAUGUAUUAGAUGAAAAAGAAUACACAAUAGUAAAUCUUUUAAGUCACAAUGGUGUCAUUAAUCAACAAAAUUGCUGGCUUGUAAUAGUGACUUCAUCAGCAGUUGUAAACCCUUCCUAAUUCCUAUAUGGAACUUACUUUGACUUAACAACACACAACAGCCAGAGCAGUCAUAAACAACUAACUUAGUCAAACAAUCUCAGUAAAUCAAAGAAUAAAAGAUGUUAACGUCAAACAAACAAUAAGAAAGAUAAACAUCACACCAUCUUAAGCAAAACAAUUCAACAAAUACUUUUGUCUUCAAAACCAAAUUACUAAUGCAAAAACCACAAACCUGAAGUGAUCGAAACAUCACUGGCUCAGUUAAAUUAAAAAGCAUCUUCUCAACACCAGGAGUGGUCCUCUGAUUUACAAACCCACCCAAAACCCUUCUAAUAGAAGCUGCAAAUGCCCUAGAACUUGCAUGUAUAGCCCCCUCAAUCAAAACCUGCAAAAAGCCACUUUCAACAUCCUCUCUAAAACCCUCUUCAACCCCUUUCCAAGCUCUGUACAAGACAUCCCCAUACGCCUCCAACAUCGACUUUCUCUCAAAAGAAAUCUGGGACUUAAUCAUCGCCAAAACGUCUUUCAACAUUGGCUUACUCAAUCCAAACAAAAAGGCUAGAAAUUUCCUCCCGUCCUCGGUUUUCAAAUAAAGUGGUGAUAUCACACAACGAAUUAGCAACAAUUUUAAAUCCUCAAUACUAUUAUCAUCAAAAUCAAACAAAGCAAACGCAUCACGGAAACUAUACACUCUAUGGACAUCAACUUUCUUCUUCAAAGUCAGAGACCUCGAAACCAAAAAGGGUAAAAACUGUGAAAUCAACAUUUCUUUACCUCCCAAGUCGUUUUUCCACCAGCUCUCGCAUAAACUCGCAAUCUCAAAAGAUAAAACCGAAUCCGACUCAAAAAGAAUCAGAUUGUUGUGCAGUAGCUGUACAGCUGGCAACAAGUCUGAUGACGAAAAGACCUUUCUUGGAUGCGUAGUACAUAAAUAAGCCACGUGAGAAAAUAUCUGCAAGUCUUCGAGAACUUUCUGUUUCCUUUCAGCUGCAUAAUUCUCGUUAGCAUUGUCAAUAGAACUCGAGGAUUUUGCGUUUCUGGAAUAUCUACGGCACCGUUUUGUGGGCGGCGAUUUGGCGUGGCCAGGAAUUGAAUCGUUCUGUAGGGUUUCGAUGGCGUUAGAGAUCGAGUUGCACAGAGAGUGAGGGAGAGAGGUGACUAGAUUUGAGGAACUGGUGAUUGAAUUAAUUAGGGUUUUCAGGACUUGUUUCGAGGAUUUGAAAUUUUGUUUUGUGGCUGAUAUUAGGAAUUCUUCGGCUGACGACUGGAGUGAGGAACGAAGCCGCUUCUCCAUAUCAUACGCUUAAGUCUUAACGCUUUUGCUGAUUCUCUAAUUUGCUUCGAUUACAGAACACUCCUGGGAUUUAGAAAGGGGUGCGGGAACUGGGGAGGGAAAACGAACCGUUUGUGUUUUUUCAAAAAAUAAAAAAUUGACGAUAAUAGGGUGACGGGUUGUGACGAAAGUUGAGAUGACGGGCCAAAUAUACAUGAGGUCAAAGACGUCCGACUCUGGGAAGUUUUUGUAUUAACGAAAAUGAUUGGUUUGUCUUCGGAACUUAAAAUCCCUUCGGUGUAACUUUGAAUGGUUUAAAAUUUUCAAAUGGGUUUUUUGGCGCUGAAUUUCAGCCUUUCGGAUAUCGCCCAGCCUUUUUCACCCUGAUAAAUAGCCAUUAGCCAGCCCAACCAAGUCAGGUGGACCCUCUUUGACAGCGACUCGGCAAUUAAACAGCGACUUAUGCACGUUUACAAAUGUCCUUUUAUGGAAUUUAAGUGUAUAAAAGUGUUCAGUAAACAAUUAUGGUUACAGUUUAAAAAUUAAAUUAUUUUAAUUUUACACUUAUUUGAUAAAAAAUUUAUUAUAUAUUUAUUAAGUUUACUGCUGUACGGCCAAGGCGGAUGUACGGUACAGCAGACUUUGAAUGGUUUAAAAUUUUCAAAUGGGUUUUUUGGCGCUGAAUUUCAGCCUUUCGGAUAUCGCCCAGCCUUUUUCACCCUGAUAAAUAGCCAUUAGCCAGCCCAACCAAGUCAGGUGGACCCUCUUUGACAGCGACUCGGCAAUUAAACAGCGACUUAUGCACGUUUACAAAUGUCCUUUUAUGGAAUUUAAGUGUAUAAAAGUGUUCAGUAAACAAUUAUGGUUACAGUUUAAAAAUUAAAUUAUUUUAAUUUUACACUUAUUUGAUAAAAAAUUUAUUAUAUAUUUAUUAAGUUUAUUAAAAUUAUUAUUUAAAAAUUAUAUUUAUUGUAUAUUAUUAAUUUUUAUUCUAUAAUUAUAUUUUUUUUUAUACAGCUUAAAACUACAACAAUUCAUUAUUAUGACAACACUAAUGUACACUCUUUUCAAUAAAUAUAAAAAUACCUUACAAAUUGGCUUCCCUCCUAAUCUAAAGUGCCGAUAAUUUUUUUUUUUUGUCUAAAAUCUAAAUAAACGUGAAUUACUAUGUAUUUUGAAUAGUCUAUCUGAAUCUAAAUAACAUAUUUAUUUUUUUAGCUUAAUCUCUUAAAAUAAAUACUAAAUUGUUUGUUGUUUUAACUUUAAAAAAACUAAAUAUUUAUAUUUUCAAAUUUUAAAAUCUAAAAGUAUAUAGAAUAUAAAUUAGAAAACGAUAGAUCACUUCCUAACCAUAACAGGCCUAAACUCAAAAUCACAGUUUAAAUCUAAUUUAGUAACAAAAAGGUUUUAUACAUAUAGAUUAUAUAAUUACAUUAAAAAACUUAAGGACAAUACCUCUGAUUACUGAUAAUGGAAAAUUUAAGAACUUGAUAAAUGAAGCAACUCAGUAAAAUGAGGAGGAAAUUGGCUGGAGAACAAAAAAAAAAAAAGCAAAGAUGAGUUUAUAUUAGCUAGAUAGACGCGUGUGAAAUUUGGGGGUAAGUAUAGAAAACAAAUAAUAAAUUAUGGAUAUUUUUGACAUAGAAUUUAGUUAAUUGAUUCGGAUCUUUUUCAUUCAGUAAAAAACUAUAAAAAAGAAAAACUUAUUUUAUGCAACCAAAAGUAUCUGAAAAUUCUCAUUAAGUUAUAAAAACAAACAUCUCUAAUUUACUUAAUUAAUUAAGUCAAGUCACAUUAAGUAAUUAAUUUAAAAAAAAAGCCUCCUAAUUUACUUUUAAUUUCAAAAAAUAAUAAUAACAAAAAUAUGAUAUAUUGCCAUUAUAAAACCAAGUGAUUAGGAUUUUGUUCAUUUACUAUUGUUAUGGUUUUUAGGUUAUCUUUUUUUUUUUUUUGUUGGACUUGAAAUAUACUAUAUUAAUAAAAGAUAAAAAGAAAAAAUUACACCAAAUUAAGGAGGGUAGAAUAAACUUUACCCUGGAUUAAUGCAUUGAAUUAUUACAAUGAAGAACCCUAAAUCAAAUUAUGGUAAAAAUUUAUGUAAGGGUAUAAACAAAAGAUAGGAAAAAAAAAAAAAAGGAACAGAGGAAUCAUCUCAGUUAAGACGGUCCUAAAAAUCAUGAUGAACGUUCGAACACAAUUUUGCUUACCUAAACAACAAUUAUCUUCAUUCUGUAGAUUGAGCAAGACUAGUCUUCAUGUCUUGCCACAAUGCACAACCAUUUCCCGACAGACACGUCGCACAUCAAAUUUCAGGUAAAUAAAUAUAACUCAUUAUUGAAGACCAGAUGAAAGCAACAACAGAGCUAACACCUAAUCAUCAUCUUAUCUUCUCUUAAGAAUUCUAGCUAGGUUAGGAAAUACAAAACCAAGCAUGAUCUCCUACCUAUGCUUUUGCCAGGGACUACCUUAUUUGCUAGACAGUUUCAACGCCCAUACGCUACUGCUGAAAAAGAGGCAAUUCGUGUUCGCUAGAAAAAUAAACGGUGCCCCAUACAAGCACCAAGAAUACUUAACUGGAGACCAAACUACAAUGUCGUACUAUGCCAGACUGGAUAUCCUAAGAACCCCAUGAAGGCAUGUGGAAUGGUGGAGCCUCUGACAUCAGCUUGCCAUGAACAGCAGGCCCCUAUCCUGCAAUUCCACCCCAAAACAAAGGUCUGUAGCUCCAUGAUAAUAGGUUGGGUCCUACAACACCAAUCAAAGGCAGCAAAAUAUCUUCAGCAUUCACGUGUAUUGGUAAAAACAAUGGCAUGGGGUGCAUUAGGUAGCAACUUUCAGAAAGGUUGUGCCUUCAAUUACCACGAGAAUGUUGAUUUAUGACGGCUUAAUUCAGAUAAUAAUUGCUUCUAAUCAAACGUCCAAACCUCAGAUUAUCUUAAGUACACUAUAAUCAGCAGAGUAGGACGCUCCUUGAUUUCCAAAAGGAUAUUUGGGGCUUUAUGACCCCCACUUUAACACAGAGCAACAACAACAGUUAAAAGGGAGCUUCCCACUCAGCAAUAGAAGCCUCCAAUAUUCCAGGCAAAUCUAAAUCACAUUCACCUUUAUUUACUUUUCCAUGGCCCAAAUGCAAUACUGAUGUAUCAAAUCAAACAAAAACAAUUCUUCAUUCCUCAUGGCUUUCUGCCUUUCGAAAGACAUAGGAAGCAUCCCAAACCCCUCAUCAAAAUGUGGGGUUAAAAGUGAUGUAUACAUUAAAAUAUAUAUAUAUAUAUAUAUAUGGCAUGUCCCAACAAUAAUAAAAGUAGAAUAAAAGCAAUACAACAAACUGAAAAAAGAAAGUGGGUGAGAUAGCAGCAUUCAUCAAAGCAAAGUAGCAAACACAACAAAGAAAUACUGUUGAUAAAUAGUCUUCAAUGGCAUUCCUGCACUCUCUCCGCCACUCUUCCCUCUUGAUGGCUUUUGGACGUCAGUCAGCUUCCUGCUCCUUACUGUAGCUAAAGCUAUCCUUUUUUAUUUAUUUACUUUUCCUUUUCUCUAUCUUCUUCGUUGUCAAUGGCUGAAACUUUUGUUUGGUAUUGGAAAAUAAAAACCCCGGUUAUAAACUCCAAAUCAUACCAGAAGAUGGUAGAUAACACUCAAAGUACCUAUAAUUAAUCUAACAGCAAGAAUCAAUUUCCAGCAAAAAAAGGCCUAUAUCCAAUCAAUAAACCGAAAUAUCAAAUUCCCCCAACUAUGGACCACAAAAUUUCUUUGGUAGACAAUUCCGAGCAUAACCAUUGAAUGUGAGUCUUCUUUUAGUGCCAGCUCCGGAGGUGAGAGUAGAAUUCUUUAAAACAUCAAUUGAGCUAGUUGAUGAUAAGCUGUGGGAAAUCACCGAAUUGGGCGUGUUUAGUUUUCCCAUCUCAAUCCCCUGCAUUAGACUGUAACAAGAAUAUAUAUGUUCCUGUAGAAGUGCAAUAAACUAUUAAAAUUAUAACACAUACAGUAUCCUAACUUGCUCUAUUAUGUAACUGAAAUAAGAAUGUGUCUCCUACAGAACUUGGGUUAGACGCAUUGAUUUAUUGAAAUAAGGAAGCUCACAAUUUCUGGAGAACCACACGAUGGGAAUACAUUCAUCUUGAGCUCGAUGGUUUCUCUUGUCAAUUGACCAUCAGAUGCAGCUAAAACUGCAGCUGCUGCAAUGGCAGAUGGUCGAUGAUUCAUCAAAUUAAUCACUGUACCAAAAGAUUAAACUGUAUAAAUACAAGCACAAAACAAUCGUUAAUCUAUUAAUAAUUAGUCAUUAUUAAUGCAGUUACCUUUUGUUAUAGUCAUAAUAAGUUCCACGGCUCUAGAGACUAAUUCUUUUGGUCUACAUUCACCGCAUAAUUUAAUCAUGAAGUAAUGCAGAAAAGCAAAAGGAGUGAUUGAACCCAUUUUCCAGUCCAAUGUACUCAAUACUAAUAGCUCCAUUCUCUGAAUCACCUUGUUCUCAAAAUCAAAAUCGUCCACUUGAAAUUCUGAUAAAGCUGGCACUUGGCAUUCCUCCAUCUUGGCUGCCAAUGAUAAACAUGCCACUGAUAGCAAUCGAAUAGCCCACAAUUUCCCAUCCUAUAUCAAAAUCAGUAAUGUCCAAAAUCAUUAUAACAUACUCAAGAAAGCAAACGUUUUAAACAAUCAUGUACAAAAUACAGAGGUGCUUACAUCAAUGGAUCGCUUUGAAAGAAACCGGUCAAGGAAAUCCACAGAAAGAUAAGCUGUGCGGAACUGGAACCCAAACAUAGCCCUUUUCUGGAUAAAAAAACCCAAUAACUCAAACUCGAAAUACAAAAAGAAGAAAUCACACGCAAUAAGGAAUAAAAAGGAGAGCUUUGAAAGAGAAACAAACGUUGAAUAUCCAUUCAAUGGCAUCCAAGCGAGCACAUUUGAGCCAGCUCUGGGUUCUAGUAGAACAAUCAUCAGAAAAGCCACAACCUUUGGAUCCAAAAUCAGUCUCUUUGUCAACCAACUUUUCUAUGAACUCUUCAUCCCCAUUUCCCAAAACAAAACAACAUGGGUCACAAUAAUAGCUCCCGUCACAGCUUUUCUCAUCUCCAGAUUCUUGACUCAAACAAGAUUCAUCCUCUUGACACAUAAGACUAGACACAGAAAAUGAACCAUCAUCAGAGUCUCCCAUUGUUGUUUUCUACUUCUCGUGAAUUUUUUUUUUCUUUUUUUUAAGGAAAAACUGAACAAUCAAACAACAAAACAAGACAUGGGUAUUUUAUUCUAAGGACUUAACUGCUAAAGACACGUUGCUAAAAUUAAGGAUGAAAUCGAGAGAGAGUUAAAGAACGAGUGAAAGAGUGGGUGACUGGGUGUGUGGUGAGAGUGAUAAAAGCAAAGCAGCAGCGCUUUUGGUGCCGCCAAAAUAAGCGGAUGAGAUAUAGUCAUAUAGAGAGGCGUUAUUUAGCGGUUUUAAGCUGCGAAGAAAAUAACAUUUUGGUACGUAAUUAUACAAGAAAUGUCCCCAAAUUUCCCCAUUUAAAAUUACAAUGGCUUCUAUAUUUAUUGUAUGCGUAUUAUUAUAUAGAAUAUUGAUGAAUUCCUUAAAUCACGACAGCUGUUGGGAUACUAUUACUUUAGGCAUUUAGUGUUUUUAUUUAUUUACUUGAGGCAUCAUUGAGAGGUAUUAUAUUACCCAACUAUUAACACUAUGCUGCAACAUAUGCAAAAUAUUUUCUUUUUGUAAUGUUUGUGAAUGGGGAUUUAUAUGUAUUUUCUUGUUUCUCAAAUCAAGAUCAUGUUUUGUUGCAAUCACAUCCAAAUCAAUUUUAGUGAAUGCGGGACUAGUCUUGGAAGUUAAAACAGUCGAUUUUGAGAUAUUACUUCCCCUACAAGAGACCUAACAGAGACUAAGCUACCUUACUAGAGUUGCGUCUUUUUUCUUUCCCCCCUCUGAUGUAUAUCUUUAUUUUGUUUAUUAAUAAAUCCAAAUUUCUGAUUAUUUGCAACUCAGUAGUACUCUUUUUUUUUUUUUUUACCCUUUUGGGGGGGACUUCAAGGUAAAUGACUGUUUGGAGUAGCAGAAAAACAAACCAUUUUUGUUCUGAAAAUUCACUUGUAAGAGGAUAUAGCAAAAACAUUUUCCAACACGGAGAGGCAGAUGUUUUCCUAAUUGUCUUGCCCCUUAGUUGUCAGUUGUUUCACAAAUUUUUUUUCCUUGAAUUCAUCUCGGGGCAUUAGCCUUCGUAGGUGUUUGACAGUUUGAUAAGAAUACUUGUCCCUCAUUUUCUAUCCUCUGUCAAACGGAAACCUAGGAUGUUGAGAAUAGUAACGUAUCUUUAUAAGCCAUUGCGACUCCACCCUGAGAUGUUUCUAACUUAUUAUACAGUUGGAUUUGCUUCAAUUACAUUCAAUUAGUUAAUUCAAUUUUGUAUUGAAGGGUCACAUGGAUAUAUAUAUAUUCCGAAAACUGGCUGCAAUGAAAUGCCAUCUCAGUUAGGCAUGAAUGGUCAAAAAAGGAAUACUGCCUCUUUCAGUCUAGGGUCUCAUUCACCAAAUUCCAAAAUAUAUAUAAGGUGAAUCCGACACGUGCGCGAAUGAUGCGCUUACAAUAUUUUUCUGCUCUUGUUUUUUCAGAAAUAUUUUAUAUGUACAGGGAUGUGGUCCUGCUUAUCAGCUAAGAUAGCAUGGCUUAGCAUUAUUCUGAAAUAAAACAAUAAAAAGAAGAUUAGUGCAAGUAAAUAACAAUGAUUGUGGGGACUGUUAAAGCAUCGACCCACAACUUUGAAAUAGAGGAAGAAAAGUGAAAUGAAAAUUGUAAAAAUUGAUGAUGAAUUGAUAGCAAACGUGAUUAUUAUUGCAGGGAGGAGCGUCUUCACGUGUGAAAAGGCUGGACCACUGCAGUCUGGCUUCAUCGAACGAGCAGCACGCAGACGCUCCUCUUCUAUCCCCCCCAAACCCAAAGUUGCCUUUGCCUUUCCCUUUCCCUUUCCCUUUGCCUUUGCCUUUGCCUUUGCCACCCCCACACGUCAUUAUAUUUUUUUAUAUUUAUAAUAUUACAUAUUGUCUACGACGUGCUGCCAUAAAUUAAUCAUACAAAUAAGUUAAUAAAUGAGUAUGUGCUACACACUACAGUGUACAGCUUGCAAGGUGUUAUUUAUGAAUGUGUGCUUAGGUCUUGGUGCAUUUGACUGAAAAUUUUGCAAGCCCGAGAUGGUCAGCCUCUGGCUUUGACUGUUUAUUGUGUUUCUGUUGUGCUGCUUGCAUUUGCAGAAUAAGCCGGGCAAGAUCAUGCGUCUAUAACCUUUCAGAAUCAGACUAAAAUCUACAUAUAUCAAUCGCCAUUGGCGUUUUGUUUAAUCAGAUUUCUUGUUUGUUCUUUCCUACCUGUUUGUUUCUCUGCAAAUGCCAACCAUUCUUGUUGUUUUCUAACUCUGCACCUGCACCUGCGCCCGUAGAAUUACUAUCUGGAGCACAGCUCCAGUGGAUAAAAUUACUCGUCACUACCACUGGUACCAAAUCUGAUAUUUUCAUUAUGGAUUUUCCACAAUACGAGCUCAUAAAGAAUAAUUUUUUUUAUCACAACAUAUAAGUUAAAUCACUAAGGGUCAUUUCGAAAUGCAAUAGCGUAACUAAAAAGCUCGAUGUGAAUCUUAAUCAUUAAUCAUAUAUUCAAGUUGGUUGGUAAUGACAUUGACAAACAUGGCCACUCGGGUAGGUGUAAUGUUGCUCUGCUCAGGAGUUUGUUUCAUUAUGUGAAACAUGCCAAUUUCAGGUAGUAAACAUGGAGUUUGCAUAUAGCCUACUAGUGGGAACAAAUGGCGCCAGCACGUUUUACUUGGACCUAGUUGUUUGGGUUAAGCUGAUGGGCCUACAUGUUUAGGGAUGGGAUUGACCCACGUUUGAUGAUAUUGUUGAGAAUGUCAAAUAAAACGGCAUUGAAUGAAAGUUAUUAAAAACACUAUUCGCACCAAAGGGCAUCAACACGGUUGGUGAAAAUCCGUCCGUAAUACAUGUUGAGAAUGUUUGAAAAAUUGUAACCCUUGCAUCUAUAAAUAUGCUCAAUGUUUAACGUUUUAUUUAAGAAAUGAAAAACUUAUUUCCUCAUAUAUGUGUUUGUGUGUGUGUACGUACAUAAAUGUAUAAACACACGAAAACACACUAAUUCACAAACCAAUGUCAAUUGUGGAGAGAGAAAAAAUAUACAGUAAGAGUAUAUAGAAGCAGAAUUAUUAAGCAAAUUAUUUUUCUGUACUGUAAAAAUAAUUAAAUACUGCGGACAUUAAAAAAAAAAAGUUCAGAAACAUUAAAGCAAAACAAAACUGCAAGAUCACGCAACACACUACGAUUAAGUAUUCUCCAUUGUCCAUUGCAUGGAAAUGCUCCAUUCCCCAUGUUCCUCUGCACACAGAUUCAAAAAUCACCGCACAAUACAGACAUCGUCUGACUCAAUUCAACGAAAUAUUUGUAUUAUGAUCUGAAGAUAACAUAAAAGCUUGCAUACUCAGAGAAGGUUUCCGCUACCUGGUAUAUGGAGUGCUGCUUCCUCAAUUCCUGUCUUGCUGGCAUCAGAGCUUGGAGACUUGAACAUCCUCUGCAUUAGAAAAUUAGAGAGAAUUGAGCGCAGUGUAGAAGCAUUACCACCUGUUUGAAUAAUCCAGUUCAAUCGAAACUAAAACAUAAUUCCUAACUCAAUCUCUUAUUGGAAUAACCAUAGGUACCCCCGAAAAUGGAAUAACAGUGCCGGUUAACUUUCUAUCUAAAAUUUCCUUCUUUUCUCGCUCUGAUGUCAUCUCAAGCACAUCGUGAAAAAUCUUAUUUUUAUACCCAACGAAGAUAGCAACUAAAAUGGCUAAGAAUUAGCUAUUAACAGGAUUAAAAAAGAAAAAAAGAAAAACAAUUGGCACAAUCCAAUUGUUUUGCCAAAUGAUAGUGCAUUGAGAGCUUGUUUUGAUACUUUUGCGAUAUUCAAAAAUGAUUAAAAUGAUUUUCAAAAGUAAAAGUUAAUUUUGGUGUUUGAUAAAAUCUUUUAGAAUUAAUUUUGGUAAAAUCACCUCAUUUUACAGUAAAUUUUGAAAAGUAGAGAAUGAGUAGUUUUUCAAAAUCUAAUUUUAGAAAUUAAUUUUAUAUUUAAUACAAUUCUACAUAUAUCCUUAUAUAUAUUAUAAAAAUACAAAAAAUAUCCUUAUUAAUUAGAAAAUAAAAUCAUUAAUUUUAAACAAAUUAUUAUUAUUACUACUACUACUUAUAUUGAGAUAAAAAAAUAAAAAAAUAAUUAUAAUAUAAAUUAUAAUUAUUAUAUGUACAAAGUAAACAAUAUUUUAUAUACAUGUUUUGGCAUUUUUAAAUAAAUUUUAUUUAGCGUUAUGUCUAAUACAAUCAUUUAUAUUCUUACAGCAGCUUAAUAGUAAGAUUUACUAAACACAUACGAUUAUUUUUAAAAUUUAUAACUCUUUUAAAAAUAAAAUUUUCCGAAACAUUUUAAUUGAUUCCUUCAAGACUGAUUAUUUUUACAGCAAAACUAAUAAUUAUUAUUUUAAAAGUUAAUGUAUUACCAAAUUGACCCUAAGUGGUGGUAGGCCCCCAAUAAAAAUUCUCUCCCCCCCCCCCUCUAUGCAUUUGUGCCUGAGUAUGUGUGUGUUAUCAAUAAUAAAACAUGUGUGCAUCACUAACAGAUAAAAAAAUACAAUCUCUAAUGUAUUUUUUGUAUUUUAAUAGUAUGUUAAAUUGAGAAUAUCUUCAUUAGAGAAAUAUAUAUAGAUAUAUAUAAACAUACUUAUAUAAAGUUGUUUAUGAAACAAUGAAAAAGACAAUUUAUAAUGCUACAAUCCAUUUAGAAUUUUAAGUAAAAUAUGGGAUUCUCGAACUUGAGAAUCGAAAUUUUUUCAAUCUAGGAUAAAAUUCUGGAAUGAGUUUGCAUUGUUAUAAAUAGACUUUUAGAACUUCCUAAGUUGUAAAACAAUGAAAAAACAGUUUACAAUUUUAAGGUUAACUCUACUUGGAAUUGACAUAUGCCUUUGCCGCCCACAUAAUUAUGGCGGGCAAUAAUUUUCUAGGCCAUUUUCAAGCAAACAUGUGAUUCACGUUGGGUUUGGUGGUUUGUGCUAACUGCCAAGGUUCAAAAUUGUAGCAAAUGGAUGCCAGACUGGCGAUGAAUCGACCUUUUUUCGUAGCAAUGUAUAAUAUUAAAUUUAGGAUCCCUAUGCAUGUAACAUACAUCUCUCUCACAUAAAUAAUGAAUGGACCCCACACAUGCACUGUUCAUGUGAGGGGAUGUAUCUUACAUGCAUGUAAGAUAGGAAUUGCCUUAAAUUUAUAGUGUGAUAAAUUACUUUGAACGUACUGUUUGUACAUUGAUUUAAAUCAUAUUUAAUAUCCAAGUUUUUUUCUUAAAAAUAGGUUUGCAGUAAUUUUAUUUGUAAUUUUGAAGGCAGUAACUAUGAUAGAGUUGGUCCACCAUAGAACAAUGCUUAUUGACCAUAGAUCAAAGUGAAAAAUAAUAAAAAUAAAUAAAUUGUACAUACAAUCGUGUGGUUAUCGUUUAGUAAGUUUGUUUUAUGGUGGAACAACUCCAUCGUAGCCGAUAAUGUGAUAAGUGAUGAUAAGAAUUUGCACGGGAUGCCAGACAGUAAUUAGCUGGAAAAACACAGUCGUGAUCGGCUGCUGAAACUACAAAACAAAACAAAAAAGUCAGCAACUCAGCAAUCAUUUCGUGUCGCGCUCUUGAAAAUAUCUUAAUAUCCGAACUGGCGAGGAUCUCGUCUCGCCCAUGACAUAGAUAGAUAGAGACCGUUAGGAUCGUUUGGGACGUUGAAGUUUUAGAUGAAAUAGCGCGAAACCGAGUGACGGCACGUAACUUUCUUUCUUUCUUUCUUUUUUUUGACAGAUAAAAUUACCAAAUGAGAAUCACAAUAAUUAUCGAAUUUAUUAACGGUUCUAAUGUGGCCAUGACUCAGCAUUGAGAACCGAUUUUUUUGGGAGCCGAAACCAAUGUCGAAUGGCAAAUAAAUAAUCAAUAAAGCUGUAAUGAAUUUGCAUAAGUUGUCCUUUUGUGUACCUCAACUAAACGAGCGACACCGACAUCAUUUGUGCCUAUCAAGACCCCAACUCUCUCUAUGUAUAUAUAUAUGUCUGCUGCUGAUGAUAGAUGCUUCUCAUUGGCUCAAAUUUUUGAUUUCAUUUGUCAGCGAAGCCGUUAUUUUUGAGCCGGGGAUUCUAAUUUCUAAGGGAAGGAAGUGAAACUAGCCCAGCUUCAAUUCCAAAAGGGCUGCUGCGCAUUAACGUGAAUCCUGUUUGUUUGUUUGUUUGUUUUUCCCCCUUGAAGAUCAAUAUAACAAAGGUAGGUGCUUCUGGGUGUCUAUCAUUUGCUUUUGAAUGUAAUGAUUUGGGUUGGAUUCUGAUUAUACAACCAUGAUUUCCCAUGCAUAUUAUGAUUUUUAUCGAUCUUUGAUUGAAAAGUUUGUUGGAAAUUAUUAUACACGUAAAUGCAAUCCUUUAUUGAAUCUAUCGGUCCUGAUCAUGACAAAUUUGUUCUAUUGUUGUUAUUAGAAUCCUGACAAUAGAACAAGAAACCAUGCUUCUGAAAAUGAUGAUUAUGGGAUGUUUUAGAGGCCCUUCGAGGGGCUUCAUUUGUUUCUUUCUCGACUUGCAUCAAGAAAAAAUGUCUAUAUUGGAUUAACACUGACAGAUGUUAAUGUUUGAGGAAGACAUCCAUAUCUUGAACACUUGGUUUUGUAAUUUCAUUGAUUUUUAAAGAUUUAAGCCAUUUCUGUUCAAAAAUUACUUUGGUAACUUCUGUCUCACAUGCUCUAUGUGUACAGAGAAAUUUGAGGCCUGGUCGGUCAUAGCCUCGGGCACCGAUAUCAAUUAUGGUCAGAUCUGAAGAACGGGCCAUUAUUGAUUUAUCAAGUUGGGAACGAAUUAUUAGGUUGUUGAUCGUUACAAUCUGAUGAUUCAAAAAUAUUGUUGCCUAACUGUUCUGAAUGCUUUGGAUCUAUCGUACACGUAUAUCUGCCACAUUCAUCCUCUUCCAAAUGUGGAGAAUUUUGUAUUAUGCAAAUUAUCAUCUGCAGAGGAUACAUAAUUAAUUUACUGAGCAUAAAACAAAUUCUAAGCAAAACUUAAAAGCAUUGUUGUCUCUUUAACAUGAUAUUGUAAUUUGUAAAUGAUUGUUUGGUUCUUUCUCAAAGCUUAAUCUUUUGCGACGAAUAGUUCCUUAACAUAGGAUCAGAAUCAGGUUGAUCAAAAGAUUCAAUGUAUAAAUCUCCCAUUCUGUUAAAUUAUAACACAGAAUUUGAAUUUGGAUAUUUAUGUGAUGGGGUGUGCUGACUGAUUAAAAAGACAACUUGAUAUAACCAUGGAUGCGUUCAAUAAUAAUAAUAAAUAAAUAUAUUUAACCGGGGAUGUAAGAGGCGUGUAAUGUGUUGAUUAACUUUGUCUGAAUAUAUAUGCUACAGAACUCUUUACAGUUCUUAUGCGCUGAUAUUGAGCCAAAAACUGAUGAUUUUCAUUGUGCUUUAAAUUUUUCAGAAAAGGAGCUUAAAACUUUAUAUGAAGAUGGAUGACGCUUACGAGGGGAGCCUUUCCAAGAGCGUUGCUCCAGCGGCACCUCCAUUACCUGGUCCAGCAACCAGUUAUCAUCAAAAGGGGCUCGUGAUGAAUGGAUUGCCUUUAAGAGGGUACAGCUGUGUAUCCACUGCAGCAAAGGAUUUGUGGGAGCGCCUCUUCGACUCGGGCUAUAAAGCAGACGUUACCAUUUAUACUGAUUACAAUGGCAUCAUCUAUGCACAUGCUAAUGUUCUUGUAAGUCUUGUUAUUCCAUCUUUGUUAAAUGAGAGUAAAAUUACAGUGAAUCUAAUCACACUAAUGUCUAAGUAUUGGAAUUCCUUUCCUUCCAUAGGAAUUAAAUAUAGACUUGCUUGUUAUCCGAACUGCAGGCCAAUGAUCUAAAUAACCAAAAAUCUUCCUUUUUGUCACUGCCGUUUUAAACCUUACAAACAAACGCAACAACAGUACAAAGCUUAUGAUAUAGAUGUAACUAACAAGAUGUUUGCUUCACUUCUGGGAUUGGGUUGUUAAACAGUCAGUGAUCUGACAGACACAAAAUCAAUUUGUUAGCAUCUAGGUAAUACCUUAAACACAUUAGUUUAUUCAUAAUGUUAAUUUUGUGAUUUUUGCCAACAGGGUAUGGCUUCUCCUGUGAUGAAAGGGAUGUUGAAUCAAUCAAAAGGUCAUGGGCGGUGGCGAUCUCUCUCCAUCCAUGGAGUCCCACAGGAUGCAGUUCGAGUUUUCAUAAGAUUCUUGUACUCGUCCUGGUAAUUAAAGCACACUUUUGCUGAACUAAUAGGGUUAAUAUAUUAAACUCACGCGAUACCAGAAAGACGUUUGCAACCAUGUAGAGGUCGCCUGUUUUUGUAGAGUUACCUAUGUGAAGAUAACCUCCAGAUAGCUAUGCUGUUGUUUCUGUUAUGUUGUGAAAAUUGCUCUACCAUUGUGCUGAUCGGUAUUGGUAUUUCAUUUGUAGUUCUGAGAAAGCAGAUAUGGAGGAUUAUGUGUUGCAUCUGUUGGUUCUAUCUCAUGUGUUUGUGGUUCCCCAGCUAAAGCGGGAGUGUGAGCGGCAGCUAGAGCAUGGUUUGCUGUCAACGGAGAAUGUAGUUGACAUCUUCCAGCUGGCAUUGUUGUGUGAUGCCCCUCGGCUUAGCCUCGUUUGCCAUCGCAUGAUCCUCAAGAACUUUAAGGUUGUUUCUGAUUCUGAAGGAUGGAAAGCCAUGAUGCAGAGCCAUCCGGUGCUUGAAAAAGAACUUGUGGAAUCUGUGCUGGAUGAAGAUCAUGUAAGCAUUUUCUUUUCUUUUUCGAUAUCAGAAACAGCUUGUUAUGUUAAUCCCUCUCCCACUGAUCUGAAUAUGUAUAUAUUUUCAGAAGCAAAAGGAGAGGAUUAGAAAGCUAAAGGAGAGAAAGAUCUAUUUGCAACUUUAUGAGGCCAUGGAAGCUCUUGUUCAUAUAUGUAGAGAUGGUUGCAAAACAAUUGGUCCACAUGAUAAAGAUUUCAAAGAGGACCAGGCACCUUGCAAUUAUACGGCUUGUAAGGGACUGGAAUUGCUUGUCCGCCAUUUUGCUGGUUGCAGGCUAAGAAUCCCCGGUAAAUGCAGCCACUGCAAGAGAAUGUGGCAGCUGUUGGAAUUGCACUCCAGACUCUGCGAUGAUUCAGAUGUUUGCAGGGUUCCUCUUUGCAGGUGAGCUUCCAAAAUGAUGGAAAUACAUCACGUAAUUAUCUAUAUGUGACGCUGCUUGAAACUUUCAACUAAUAUGUGGAAACUUUCAUUACAGGAAUUUCAAGGAGAGGAUUAAGAAGCAAAGCAAAAAGGAUGAAAUAAAGUGGAAGAAGCUUGUGGAAAAGAUGUUAAGAACAAAGAGAAUCGGAGGAGCCAAUUUUUUUUCUGAGGAACUGGCUAGCCCUUCAUGAUUCACUGUUAAUAGUCCUGUAUUUAGCUUUCAAAUUGUAAAUUAAUUGCUGUUAUUGCAGACUUAAUUCUAGAAUUAUGUAAUCAGAAGGUUGCGAAUGUAUUUCUCGCUCUUUCUAUGUAUGUCAAUAUGAAAAUCAUUGUAUCACUUCCACCCUCAGACCUUCUUUCUCUCUCUUUUUUCUUGGAUCUCUGAGAACAAUGAAAAUGAAAUUUGAUUGUUCAUGAACAUCACACUGUUGAUUCAAUUGGUUUGAAAUAAAGCUUCUUGUUAUGUACGUUGAGUGUUAAAUAGUAUCAAAUUAAAUGUGCUUCCGUUAUUAUUGACGGUUUAGAGAAACAAAAUCGAAAUGCGUCGACAGCAGGGUUCGAACCUGCGCGGGCGAAGCCCAACAGAUUUCAAGUCUGUCUCCUUAACCACUCGGACAUAUCGACAAUUAUUGAAAUUAUUAAUUGUAUUCUGAAUAAAUCGAUGAAUAAAAGGCUCUAAUGUUCACAAACUGAGCAAUGAGCAUUGACAGUUGGAAGAUCAUAUUUAAUUGAUGGAGAUUGUUAUCUUACAUUAUCAUAUAAGAUGCAUGAUUUUUUUAUAGCCGUUGGAUAAAAAUUUAAGAUUAUAUAUCAUUUUAUUUCCACAAUCGUUGAAUAAAAAUCCAACGGUUGUGGAAGAAUCAUGUAUAUUACAUGAUGAUGUAAUAUAACUAAAACCUUAAUUGAUUUGAACUUUUUCCUGAUUAUAAACACAUGAAUUGAUGUGAUAUAACUCAUAUAAGUUACCAUGUGAAGUAACCGGAAAUGUGAGUAAUGGGAUCAGCGGGGCCACAAAAGGUUAUAAUAAUGUUUAUUGAGGACAUGGUCUGGUGUGUCCUUUUGGUUCUGUUAGAAAUAUUCUCAAAUAACCGAAACUCCUUUUCUUUAUAUUUUUACAGUGUUUUCAAGUACACAAAGUAUUUUAGGAUUUGAAAGUAAUUUUUGGAGAAGUAAUUACAUCGGUCAACAUGCUUUGUCUUUGAGAAUACUGAAACGUUGUCGUUUUUUCGUGCUUUGGCAUUAGAACACCAAUGCUGGCGCCUAGCGGCUCGCCUACUGUUCGUAUAAAUUAAAAGCCCAUCUGCUUACCUAUUGUUACAGUUCGACAAAAGGCUUUGGCAGUCGGAAAUGAAAAUGAAAAUAAUUCGAAGUAGACUGGAUAGCUAUCCUUCUCAAGUAUAUAUUUUAAAAUUACUUCAAUUUACUUUUUCUGUCAUCCUUAAUUGAUUGAUGGCUCAUGCAUUUUAUCUAAUAGAAGCUUACCACUAUUACCAUUUAAAGGUCCUAAAAAAUUGAAGCACUUGUGGGAAAAUGAAAUGAAAUCUCCCAUGAAAAUGUUAUUUGAAAAGGUUUUGGCCAUCAAUUUAAUGCAUUGAGUUAUUUGGAGUUCAUCUCUAUUUUUGGGAGUGUGUAAACUGAAAAAAAAAAACUUGGACAACAUGUUUAAAAAUAAUGACAUUUAUUAUUAUAUAAUAUACACCCACCAAAAAUCUGAAACCAAAAUCCUAGGAAAUGCUAAAAAUAAAAGGACUGAUAUUAUUAUUGAUAACAAUAAAAUAAAUGCCGACCACGGCCUUAAUCUUAAUAGGUAACAUCAGAAGAACAUUUUGAUCUCUAAAUGAAGAAACCUACCUUCAUAUGUAAUUAUGUGUUGGAAGUGAACAAAAAGCAUUCUGUUUGUUCUUUUCCUUUUAAAACAUUACACCGACACCAUCUUCACAAAGCUAUGCAACAUGCGGUCUAGUAUGAAUGAAGAUGCCCCUCAACGCCCUACCGUUUGGCAAAACUUUCCCACAAUUUGUUGUCCUUAUUAUUGUAUGAUGUAUGUGGCCUCUGGAGACUGCUAGUCUGUGUCUUUCCAUACGAAAUGUACCUCUCCUUCCAGAAGAAAUCGUAGUUUUGAACUAAUUAUAACCUCUCUGUGUUUUGGGAUCUUGAUAAUGAGAAAUUCCUUAAAAAUUGCUUUCACUUCUCCAUCACCCAGCUCCUUAUCAUGCUUUGGACUCCACCAAAAAAAAAAGAAAAAAAGAAGAAGAAGGUUUAUAUAUCGAGCAUCUACUUGAAUUUAAAACAAUGAGGAAGUGGCCAACUAGUUCUCUUGUUCUCACACAACUUCAUGGAGAAGAGCUGUCCUCAUCCGAACUGGUAUCUUGUCUCACAUUAUACCUGUUGAGCACCGGUAACGAAGCAGUUGCUGAUAUCCGGAAGGAUCUAGCUGAACCCACCAUUGUUCGCUCCUGCAUCUUUCCAACUUCUUUGCAGACAUGAUCCAAUAUAGCAAGGAAAUCUCUAACAAUCAUGAAUAUUCUGAAAGGAUGUGCUUCCUCCUUUGCUGCAUUCCCAUGAAAAUAUUCAGUAACCUCUUUCACAAGUGACAAAGCCAUUCUUUCAUCAGCCUUGAUCCUUGCAAUUUCCUCUUCAGCUUCUUUCAGAAACAUUUUCAUUGAGUGGAAGAACUUCCCCUGCAUGUCUGGCUUCUCAUAUUGCAAAACCAAUCUGACUUUCUCAAGCCCCAUUUCAAGCUUCAUCACAUAGCUGCUUAAUACAUCUGAGUCCAUUCCAGCUGCUUUUUUGACAUUGCUGAGGUCUCUACUCAGCCCGGACACAACCUCCAAUCCUUGCUUCUUGAACUCAUCCUCCCUCAUAGAGUUCUUGCUUUCAACAUUCACUUCUGUAGAUUUGGUACCUGCACCCUCAGCUCUAAUAAUUUCCUGGACCACAAAGUGGAGCAAUGUUGUCUUCCCAUCCGUUCCCUUUAUAUCUACUAGUUUUAAGAGUGUAUCAAGUUUAAAAGCUUUAGCGUCUCCACGAUUAGUACCAACAUUCAUCCUGUUUCCUGUCUUGAGAACAGCUUCAAGGAGUUUGAGAAAUAAUCUGCUGUUCUUCAAUUCUUCACUUGCUGCCUAACAAGUACAAAGAUUAUAGGUUCAAAUUUCUAGAAGUCAGAACUGGCAACUUGUAGAGAUCAAAUAGGACAUUAAACUUAUCAAUUCAUAAUUUCAUCCAAAAUACCUCUAGAGUUUGAUAUGACUUUCUCAGAUAUUUUACUUCGGCAUCAAAGUUGGCUCUGUACAGCAUUGCCUCAACUCUUUUAAAGGCAAAUGGAAUAUCAAGAACUGCCUUGAGAAAUCUUUCUGCAGAUCCUAGUUUCAAGAUGUCACCUUUGUACUCUCGAAGUUUUAUUUCUUCCUCCUUGGUUGGAGCCAUCUUCACUAGUGUUUCCAAAAGCUCUGCACCUAAGCUUUCAGGGUUACCUGUUCCACCAAAAGACAUAUGUUAUAUGAGAAACUAGAAACGAAGGAUGUAACUAAAGACCAUAAUAAACAUUUAAAGAAAUUGUAUUUUCUUCUAUAUGUUACAUUUGCUUAAUCUGUGUGCCACUGUUAUGAGGGCACAACCUAGGCAGAGACUACUACUGCGAGCUUCUCUAAGUUUUCCCAGGUUAUUUUGACAGGUAGAAGAGCACUGGAGCUUAAGAUAAUUGGCUAGAGUAAUGCAGCAUAGAAAAUUUAGGUGUAUGAAUGUUUUGAAAUUUGGAUGCUGUAAGAAAGGGAGAGGAAAUAUUUGCAAGUGAAAAAAGUAAGAAGAACAAACAAAAUCUCGUCAUGCUUUGUUUGGGGAUAAAGAAGAAUCAGUGUAGUAUUGUCAGUAUAAUGAUUCAGACUUGAGUACCAGUUGACCUUCUCUUUCUUGGUGAAAUAGAUGGCUCAUUCAAAUUCUUCAAUAAGGAACAAAAAACUAGAAAGAAAUUUCAGUUAUCAUAUCCAAGAGAAAGGAAGUAGACAAUGGCGAAAUUAUAUGUAGGAACUAGGAAGAAUUGAUAACUUAUAAACACGAGAUGAAUGGUAAAGUAUCUGUGAAUAAUGCUUCUGAUUUCAAAGUAAAUAAAUGCAAAUAUGAGUUGGCAAUGGGAUAUCAAUCUUUUAAUUUGACAUUGUCAAUGCUUGGCAAGUUGUUAUAGAGGAUGUUUAAACCUUUUGAUUAUCUUCCCUUGUGAUUUAAGUAUCUUUGUCAAUUAAAAAAAGAAAAAGAAAAAGAAAGUAUUGUUGUGAACUGAGUGUCCUUUCUUGUUUUUAUUAAUGAAAAGCUACACAGUUAUGCCGGUAUCAUUAUUUAUCUAAAACUUUCAUAUAAUUACUAAGAAGGGUAAUGGCAAUGACUUCUGAAUUAAGCAUUUGGUAAUGACAAUGACUUCUGAAUUAAGCAUUUAACUCCUAUUUAUAGUUUUAGAAUUUCUUGACAUCACUUUUUCUGUUCUGAACUAAGAGUUAGGAGAUGCAAUGCUUGGUACUUUUUUAUUCCAAUUAUGUGCUACCAUAGACCUAUUUGCACCCGACAGUUUUCAAUGAACUAACAAUGUAUGCUCAAUCAAAUUUUCUGGCACCUAUCAACUGUCAAGAAAGGCUGCUGGAAAGUGAAUAUGCUAUAAUAAGUAUAGUUGUUAAAUUAACCCCAAUCACAUUGGCACUGCCUAUUGCCAAGCAAGCCAUGGAGCCUGAGAAAUGAUGAUAGAUCGAAAAUAGCAACAUUACUUAGAUCGAAAAUAGCAACAUUACUUACCAUCUAGAAGAGCUUCAGACACCUCAUCUCGCGUUACAUUCAAUGCUCUUAACAAAAUAGCUAUGUUCUGUGAUUUCUUUGGGUCCAAUACCCUGUUUUCCAGUUCAACAGGGGGGAGAACUGAUUUUCUUGUAGUAGGUUCUUUUGGAACUGAAUUCACUGAAUUGCAGCCGAAAAGAGACUCCAUCAUGUCCUCAUUCAAUCUACAAGCAAGUGAAAUGCCCUCAAAGAUCAGAAAUUGUACAUUAGAUUUGGCAGAAAAUAGAAGAAGUAAAAAAUAUUUACUUACUGAAAUGAGCUUGAUUUUAGCUGAUCCCACACUGUAGCUCGGUCUGAGGUUGCCCGUACUUUGUCCCAAUGAAGAGCUUUUAACUUCGGCUUUGCUCCAUCAGUACCAUCCCCUUCAGUCUUCUCAGAAGUACUUGUACUUUUACUGACCUCUUCCACAGGAGAUUUACUUAUGCCACAACCAGAAGGGCAGUUUGGACUAGACAAAGAUUGCUGCUUAGGCAAUACUGGAGCAGGCGUCGAGGAAACAAUUGUGUCUGAAGAUCCCAUUUUUCUUGGUAUUGACAGUGGUGGCGGCGGCGGCGGCGGAACUGGAAUUUUAGUUGUUUGUGAGGAUGAAUUGCUAUUCAACGAUCGAAGAAGCUCCAUAUUUGGUGGUGGUGGUGGUGGAGAUGAAAAUUUUGGCCUUUUGGGAGAGUAUGGAUUUGCACGUGAGCUAUCCUCAGCUCUAGGCUGCUCUGUCCCUCUUUCUGCCAUCCCUUGUGAUGGGGGUGCUGGUGGCAGCGGCGGCUGCUGUUGCUUGAUGGACGGUAUGAUAACAUUCUUCAUUUCUGGAGAAGAAGCUGCGAGCCUAGAUUUAGGUGAAGUUCUUUUCGAAUGAGGAACAGAACUAUUAUUAGGAUGACCAACAGAAUUCACAGUGCCAUUGUUGUUAACAUGAACUGAACGGGACGAAGCCACAACCGGCGUGCAAUAUUCAUCAUUGCUGAUAGAAGAGCAUUGUGGUGUAUAAAACGCCGUGUCAUGACUCUCCUCAUCCGAUGAUGACAUAGCAGCCGGUGAAUUCUCAUUCUGAGAAGGAGGCCUGGUCAAUUGUGGGAGUGGUUGCAAUUCAGGGCUUGGCCUGUACCGAUCUGAUCUUUUAACAGAAUCGAGUUUAUGAUAUGGCGACCCAUUCGCAGCAGCUUCACUAACUGAUGUCCUACUGGGCUCUACAGUUCCUAUAUACAGAAAGCUUGAUGGGGGCACUCUGGGUUCAUCCUGAAUCCCUUGGGAAUUGGCUCCCACGAGUUUCUGAGACUCUCCGGGGUGUUUAACUCUAUGGCGAUAAAGAAAGAAUGCAAGAGCUGAUAACAUUCCCAGUGUGACAAUUCCAACUGAUAUAGCAAUUGCCACUUUUUUGGCUGGCUUUGCUGGUUGUGUGGCUGCUGGUAUUGGUAUGCUGCCGUUUGAUGACGAUGAUGGUGUUGCAGGCGUUGUUGCUGGUGGUGGUUGGUUCUGAUCUUGACUUUGUCCAUUUGGGUCCUCGGGGAAAAAGGGCUGGUCUGGGCUUUCCGGUGAAGGCGGCGGCGGCGGAGGCGACGGCGGUGGCUCAGCCCCUGGUGGUGGUGAACUUGCUGGAAACAAUGGCUGGUGAAGAAUUCUUCUCUGAAUUGAACUGCUAAUGCCAAUGCUAAUGUCACUUUCUGCUAUGCAGGAAAUGGACAAUGAUAGGAUCAAAAAGAGGUUCAAAUGAUAAGCUUUCAUGGUGAAUUUUUCUGGGUUGAUGUUAUCUUCUUCUUUUCCUUCACCAAAUUCAUCUCUUGCGUGUGUUAUUUUUUCCUUUAUCUUUUUUGGGCUCUGCAGAAAAUGGAAAAUUUUGUUUGGUAAGAAAGAGAAAAGAGAGAAUGUGAAGGGCAGCUUCUUUUUUCUGCAAGAUCUGGAUGCUCCAAGUAGCUCAUCUCUCUAGUAGUCAGCACUCAGCAGUAGCCGCAUUUUUAUUUUUUUUUUAAUUUUCCCUUCCUUCAUUCUCCUUUCCCCUUUUUCUAGUUACCCCGAUCUAUUAUUUAUUUGUUUUCUGUUUUUUAGUUUAACCGCGAAACGGAGUAGUACAGUUACAAGUGAAGGAAUGACACGUGGACAGUGAGAAUCUACUUUAGUGCUCCUCCAUUUUUUUUUUCCAGAUAAAUGGACGAUGAUGACCACGUAGUGUUAAUAAAAUAAGGACCACGUUGAUGUCCUUUUCCGUCCAAUAAUGAAUUGUUCCUUCUUUCGCUUAGAACGAGAAGAGGGACAGUUAUAUAAAUAAAUUCCACAAUAUUCCUUUAAUUUCCCUUUAGAGCCGUUUAAGUCCUGUGGCUGUGGCCAUUGCUUGCUUUAGCACUCUCGAUCUUAGGUUCUGGUCACAAUCCUCUGCAGUCCCGGAUACAAGAACCCACAACGUCUGACCGUACCUCACAUUAAUAUACAUUUGUAUAUAUGUAUAAACUAAUUUUCUAGUUUUUAUUUUAAACUUUUGUUAAUUUUACAUAUUUCGAAUAUCCUGAUUAAUUUUUAUAUUUGUUUGUAAGAAUUAAAUUCGAGAAAUAUCUUUUAAGUAUAUUUGAAAAUUAAUUACAAAAACUCACUCUUUAUGAUCUCACCGAAUUGGUAGACUGAAAUUUCAACUCGAAAUUUAUUAUAUUUAGGUAGAAUUGUGUCGUGGUCAAUUAGAUAUGUACAUCCAAUUCAUCCGUAUGCUACAGAAAUCCCAGGUAUAAAAUUGGAAAUUUGUUUGGUUGCUUGUGUGGUAGGUUUGACUUAAUUGGAUGGUGGGAUCAAUGGAAACGCGCAAUCAUGCACCAUUAUAACACGGUGAGGAAACUUGUAUUAUACUGCAUAAUAAUCAACAUUCAUUUAAGUGUAACAUUAACGUAUAAGUGAUAGUAUGUGGAUUCUAGAUGUGGGAGCAUCAAGGCCACAAAUGUAAUUGCACCGAAAAGAGUGAUCUGACGCCAAGUUAACGUUAUGCUCUUUUAAUGCUUUGCUUUUUGGGCUAAGAUUGAUCCACCGACCGUCUCUUUAUCACACAACUGUUAAGAGGGGGGGAAACACGCACACGGCCAUUUGGCAAGCAUUUGCUUUAUUUUUUUUGCUUUUUCUUUUAUCCCUUUCUUCUUUUGAUGGACAUCCUUAUAUGCCAUUUGGGUCGCCACCGCCACUUAUGCAAAUACAAUAUUAUCCUUUCUCUUAAACCACCUGGGAUCAUUUUUUUAAUCAUUUAUGCACUUUAUGUUACUAUUUUUUAGCACUCUAAUCUUGUGUUUUCUUUCUAUAUACUAAAGGAUCUUGAAAUAGACAUUCCACUUUUACAAUUUAUUACACUCAAAAUUCAUUUUGUGAAUUACAGGAGAUUAAAUCUCUAACGGUUUGAGUUAUAAACCUUUUAAAGUAGGUAGAGCUCGUCUGGCGUAGCUAAAGUGCUGCACCUCUAUUUAAGUAGAGGCUAAUGUUAAGUUACAUGUAACUUUCUCACAUGAAUAGUGAGUGAUGUCCUAACGGUUGGAGUUAUAAACCUUUUAAAGUAGGUAGAGCCCGUCUGGCGUAGCUAAAGUGCUGCACCUCUAUUUAAGUAGAGGCUAAUUUUAAGUUACAUGCAACUCUCUCACAUGAAUAGUGAGUGAUGUCCACAUCACUCACUAUUCAUGUGAGAGGAUUGUAAGUUACAUACAUGUAACAGACGGGGAUCCUUAAAUAGAAAUCUUCUCCUACAAUAGAAUUGAUUGUAUGCUAAAAUAGAGGUGUGGGGUAUAUGUGUUGUCAAAUCAUCACCAAAAGACCUAUUUACAUUUACUCUUCUAAUACUUAUUUACUUACGUGAUAAAUAAAUAAAAUUAAAAAAACUCUUUAAUUAUGAAAUAAAUUUAUAUCAUUUUAUUUAAAUUCUUCUCCCACCAAAUUUAACUACCCUCUGUUUUUUUUUUUUUAAAAAAUAAUGUAGUUAUAGUACUUAUCUCCAAUAAUAAUGAUAUAAAAAAAGUAUAAUAAUAUUUGAAAAGAUAGAAGUCAUUCUUUAAUAUUAAAGAGAGAGAAUGAUAAUUUCAUUGAAAAAUCUAAUUUAAAAAGUCUUUUAGAGCUUUUAUUAUUAAUGUGACUCUUUAGAUGAGAAGUGAAAUAUCGUUUGAAAAGUCUUUUGGUGAAUUUACUUUUCAAAAGAGAGAAGGGUGAGCAAAUACCAAAUUAAUUAUUGAGUCAUCAAUUCCUCUUAGAAUUUAAAUUCAAGUGACCAACUAUAAAAAAAAUUAUUUAAACUAUUGGAUUAGACAUCUAAGAUAGUGUGAUAACUUACUAUAAACAUGUAAGCAUUUAGGACCCAAUUGGAGUUGUUUUUGGGAGACUCAAAAGUAAUUUUGAAAAUAUAAAAGUUAAAUUUAGGCUUUGAUAAAUUCUUUUAGAAAUCACUUUUGACAAAAUAACUCCAUCUAAUUACAGAUUUUGAAAAGUUAGGAAGGAUUAACUUUUCAAAAUCUGAUUUGAUCAGUUUUAUACUUAAUACAAUUAUAUAUAUUAAAAAAUCUAAAAUUAUCCUUAUUUCAUAAAAUCUUUAAUUUUAAAGAAAUUAUUACUACCAACUACAUUAAGAUUAAAAAAAAGAAUAAAAAUUAACAAUAUAAAAUAUUUAUUUUAGUUAUCAAUGAUUACAUAUACACAAUAAAAAUAUUUAUAUACAUGUUUAUAAAUGUGUGAAAUAAAUUUUAUUCAACAUUAUAUUUAAUUCAGUCAUUUACAUUCUUACAAUUGUUUAAUAAUAAGAUUUAUCAAAUAUAUACGACUACUUUUAAAAGUCACAUUUCUUUUAAAAAUAAAUUUUACUAAACGUUAAAUCAAUUCUCUUUAUACCUGAUUAUUUAUAUAGUAUAGCUAAUAAUAAUUAUUUUCAAAAUUACAACAUUACCAAACUGGUGCUUACUAUGAAAAAAGAAGAAGGAUUUUGCUUGCAAUGUUUUAAAGAUAGUAUUUGACAAGAUUACUUCAAAAAAAUUUGUAAUUGAAGUGUUGGGUGUAGGUCAAUUGGUAGAAUCUUCAGUAUAUAAAGUAACGACACAUUCACUAUCUUAAAAUAAGAAUAUUAUUAAUAAAUAAAAAACACAUAUUUUAAUAUAUUUAUAAAUAAAAAUAUAUAUAUUUUAAUAUAUUAAAAUUUAUUUUUAAUAUUUUAAUGAUAUAUUUACUUUACGAAUAUGACAUUUUACUUUACCAAUGUCUAAUCAGAAUAUGGCUCAGAGUUCAAUUUCUAGCAAGGAUAGACAUUUAAUGAACUUCUGGCCAAUUUGGGGCCGCGGUACAAUCCAAGAAGUCAAUUUUCCUGCAAACUUGUUGAGGAAUCAAGAAAGAAAACAAAUACCAAAAAUCUUCAAGAAACAUAAAUAUUCAUGACUUUUAACAGAUAUUUCGAUUUACUAAUAACGAUUGAAGCUGAUCUACUUGUUUUCAUAUCGAGAAUUUGGUAAAAUGACAAACAGAAAAAUGGCCCGUAAUCUAUGUUUUUGAAAAUUCCAUUGCCCAUUAAUUUCUACUUCAGAUUAGAAAGUUCCUGUUGACCGACAACUUUUGAAGUAUUAUUAGCCUUGGCUUAUUCUGCUGAUCGAAUUGAUUUGCCAAUGGAAUUAUUUUUGGCCACGUCUGAUGUCGACUAGUGGUUGAAUUUAUAUGUAUCAAUGAAUGAUAAUCAUCAUAAAGUGCUUUAUAUCUCAUGGCCUUAUAGCUGUCAUCAUGAGAGGAUUAUUAAAAUAAUCGUCUAUAAUGUAAUUAAAUUAUUUGUGAUAAGGUUAAUAAAACGUUGGAGAAGACGCUAGCAAUUAGCAAAAGCGCAGGACUGUUUGAUUCCUACCGUCAACCAAGAAAGAAUAACUAAACUGGUAAAUUUUAGAUUCACCUUUAUUUCAAAUGAUCUUUCGAAUAAGACAAGUUACGUAUAUCAGAUUAAAUGAGUUAAUUCAGCAAUUAAAACUGCAGUUAAUGGCCAAAUUACGAACAGUUUCGAAGUUAGAAUUAGCACCCUUCUUUCUUUAUCUCUCUUUCUUUUUCUAAGAAAGUGGUGCCAAAAUCAAAUAAAUUAUUUUAAUUAGCUCCCUACCUCUUCGAAUUAUGCAUGUUUUGUUUAUGGGUUGCCGACAUUUCACGCAAUGCAUGGCAUUGGCCAGUGGCAGUGAUCAAAUUUCACACCGCGCGUCGAAGCAUUAUCUAGUUUUGCUUUCGCAGCCAUGCAUUGGGCGAACGUUUUACUUUCUAUAAUUAACAGAUUAUAAAACUCACACAUCAACUUCACAAUGCUCGUUUAGUCAACUUGUAGUCUUGUACCACCAGCCAGAUUUUUAUGCAUAAUUUUCUUAACUUUUUUGGGCAUUCAGAGGAAAAUUGCCUGAGUUCUAAUAUAGGCAUGCAAUUGAAUGAACAAUGUGUGAUAAUAUAUGACCCAUGCAUCUAUAUAUAUUUUUUAUCAUGAUUUAUCGAAACUUUACAUUGACGAUUACACCCUCUAAACAAUUUUUCGUAAUUAGUAAUUAAGUUGAUUCCAGUUGUAGUGAUUACUCUUUAAUUCGAGCAACAAUAGGGAUGGCAAAAUUCAUAUCCGGAUCUGAAUCUGCAUUGAAGUUUUGAUGUCUGUAUCCACACAAAAAAUAUGCGGAUCCAGAUAUCCGCAUUGAUUGUAGAUGGAUUUUUCAAAUAUUUGGAUCCGGAUAAGAAUAAAUUCAAAUAUAAUUUUAAAUUCAAAAACUUGACCUAACAAUAUCAAAUAAAAUUCAAUUGUAAUUCAACAAUCAACAAUUCAACAUAAAUAACAUACACAACACCAUAACUCUACAAAAAAAAAAUCCACAACAUAAAUCAAACAUAAACAAUUAAAAAAAAUCUAAGGUAAAACUGAUUCAUUACAACAUUCCUUAAUUAUUAUUAUUAUUAUUUUAGUUUCUUAGUGUAUUUUUCAAAUUCAAUGAAGAUUAUAGAGUUCAUUAUGCUUAUACAUAUUAACUAAAUAAUUUGAUUAGAUAAACAAUUUAAUUUAUAUAUUUUUCAAUUGAAAUUUAAAUAAAUAAAUAAAUAAUUUAAAUAUAAAAUAAUAUGAAUUCAGAUAUCUAGUUUUCUAAAUGCAUUUGCAUGUAUAUAUGCACGGAUCUUAUAUUUUAGACUCUAAAUCUAUAUUUUUUUAAUAUAUAUAGAUCCGGAUUUGAAACAGAUUUUUUCAAAUCCGGAUCUUUUGAAAUUUUACGGACACGACCGGAUCCAGAUUUUCUUGGCAUCCGUGAGCACCAAGAAUAUGUUUGAGAAAAUAGUAGCAAGGUCUUUCGUAAGUUGCUUUAGAAUUGUGGAAUGGACCCACGAUAACUUUUUCUUUCGCAUUUGGUUAAUCGCAUGCAAUUCUAGCUCACAAGGCAAAUAUGCCCUUUUUCUUUUAUUAUCUUUUUGGUUUCCUAUGUUAUAAAUUUUUAAAAGUAAGGUGUACGUAGCAUAUGCAUGCAUGUUUUAUAGCUAUUAUAUCAACUAGCCAUAAAAUUACAAGACAAUGUUUUCUCUAGGCACAUUGUUGCCAUGCUUUCAGAUCCUUUCUCCCAUUGGUUCUCUUUUUUACAGGCCUCUUAAUUAAAGAUUAUUGUUGUGUCGCUGAUAUCGGACUAUAGAUAAUGAAAAUAAAAUAAAACAUAAAUGAAAGUAGUUUUGCAUUUUUGUCACCAAACUUGGGUAUGUCAAUAGUGAGAGCCAUGAUGGAUGAUUGGAUGUGAUAAGAUUUCAACUCAUCAUGCCUAAUUUGGUCGUGUAAUUUCCUUCAAUCACGCUUCUAUCCUCGUGAAACCUCUAUUUUGUUUUUAUUAACCUAAUAAAUACAUAUAAAUUAUAAUAUUAAAAGUGCUUCUAUUUGUAUUUUCGUAUUUAAAGUAUAUAAUACUAAAUGAGUGUCAUACUGUCAUUAUGUAAUAAAGUCAAAAUUUAUAAAUUUUUUUCCCUAGUAGUCAAAAGGCUAAAUAAUUCAUUUAAACAAAAAAAAAAAGAGUAUUUCAUACAAAUUAAGGGAGUAUUUCAUACAAAUUAAGGGAAUUAGCUUUCCCUAGUAGUCAAAAGGCUAAAUAAUUCAUUUAAACAAAAAAAAAAAGAGUAUUUCAUACAAAUUAAGGGAAUUAGCCAGCAGUCACAGCUUUGUAUGUCUCUUUUUCAACAUGAGUGGUUAUUUGUUCAAUUUCUUAGACGUCCAAGUGUCCUUUUUCCUACAAAUUGAGAAUGAUUUAGCAAUAACAGACUACAAUUUUAUUUUUCCUUGUAAAAAUUUAACUUGUAUUUAGAAUUUGUGCAUUAAUUUUUAUUUUUUUUAUCUAGCUACGAGUGAGGCCAAUAAUUAGAGGAACAAUAAUAAUAGUAUUCUUAUUAUUAUUAUUUUUGGUUCACGGAAUCCGAUAGAGCAAUCAAAUGUUUUUGAAUGGUAUAAGUAUUGGUCAAACAUAAACAGAAAGCUUCCCUUUUCCCAUGAGGCAGAGCAUCAACAAGAACAAUCAAAUGCUAUUGUCGCAAAAGAUGAGAAAGAAACCAAAGUAGCCGGACGGCCGAUACUAUUGAAUAGUGAUUCUGGUGUGGUGCCGAAGAUAUCUAAUCAUACACAUUGAUGGAAAUGUCUAACUAAUAUCAGUCGUCUGAUUGGUCAUCUGGUCCCACAGAUCUGCUAGUUCGUUGUUCCAGUGGGCCCCCAAAUCUCUAACCCUUUUUGUUUUUUUCUGAUACGUGGGCCCCAACAGGACCUGUGCCUUUCGUACGAAUUCAGUCUCACAAAGAUGCCCUUCCCUGCCCAAUAAACGGCAAGGUAAGGCCAAAAUACAUAGAAAUUUAGAAAAAGAAAAGCACUAACGUUAUAAAUGAAAAUGCGACGUCGUAUUUUUAAGGGAAGUCGCGACCGCUCACCUGUGGUCUCGUGAUUAUCUUGUCUGAUUCGUGAAAAGCAAAAGACGAACUCGAUUAAAGUUAAGAAAGACAAUGAGUCAUGACAACACUCUCUCUCUCUCUCUCGCCCGUUUUAGUCGUUUAUUAUUACGGUUUUAUUUUGUGCAGUGUGUGUGUAUGUUGGGCUCUUGGGCUGGGUACUUCAAAAAUCACAGCUCCCACACCAAUAAUGCACAGUCUUUUGCUCUUUUUGUUCUUUCUCCACGCGUCCCGAUAUUCAGGUGCCCAACAAUGACCAUUUUCUAUUCUUGGUGACCAAGUCUAGUUAAAUUCAAUGUAACAUUUGCAAGGUUAAUAUCGAGUACAAUUUAUUAGAAUUAUUUUAAUAAUUUUAUGUACUCUUUCUUUCUUUCUUUUUCUUUUUUUGUGAAAAAUGAUUUUUCAGUUUCAAGUUGAAGCAUUUUAGAAUGUGCAGUGUGUAGCCUGUACAGGAGUAAAGCAAAAUGCAAAUGGCUUCUUUUGUACUCUGAAAACCCCUCAGCUCACUACGCAUAAACACCUGCAGUGUAUAAAGAGAGAGAGAGAGAGAAACUCGUAAAAACGAGGGUUCUAUUCUAUCUUAUAUGAAGUUACUUAAUAGUUGAAAGUGUGCAAGCUGUCUUCAAGAUUUUACAUUUUUCUCUUCCCUACAGUCUACAACCAAAAUGUUGAAGUUAUUGUGGCUCUUCCCCAUCUUCUUUCUUUGUUUCCUGGGUCUCACUGGUAAGUAACUAAGCAUCAUUCAUCAACGUGUGUUGCUUCUUACUUUUGUUUUACGGAGAAUGAAUGUCUUUAAUGCAAGUUUUUCUUUUGUCUUUCUGGCAGGUGCAGGCCAAGAAUCUAUUGAACUUCUUUACGUCUAUGACUCAACUGCAGGGCUUCUUCCAGCAGCAUCUCACUCUGGUCUUCCUUUAGCAGUUCCUGUGAGUGAAAAAAACCUCAAUGAAAUCUCUAGCAGUGUUAUAAUGGCUGAGAGCUGGUUGAGGACCUAUGUUCUGCCCCAUUACCCAGCUACUAAAAUCACCACCAUUGUUGUGGGUAACAAUCUUUUCUGCCAAAAACAGCAAGAGCACAACUUUGGUCUAAUUUUACCAUCUCUCAAGAACAUGUAUCACUCUCUUAAAAGGUGGGGUUUGGAGAAUGAAAUCAAAGUUUCCCCUGCUUUCUCUUCCAGCUGUUUUAUCCCAGAUUUAACUCUCUUCAGAGACGAUUUGAUUGAGCAAGUUAUUAAACCUCUGUUACAGUUUCUUCACACCGCAAACUCCACUUACUCCAUUAUCCCACCUCCAAAGUUAUCUCCUUUGUCUGAUAAAACUACCAUCUUUGCGUCUUCUUACUUAGAAUCAAUGAAAAAGCUUGGAUUUUUAACCCUCAACAAGAUCAAUGUGCUGAUCCAAAACCCAAAAGGAACAAAACCCAUGCGUAGAAAGCUCUCAGCAGCGGUAAUUGACACCAAGAUUAUAAACCCAUAUCCAGCUAGACCAACACCAUUACCAGAAAUCACACCAAUUCAUUCCUCUAUAGGAUUUUCUAUCCCUGCCCAUGCAGCCAAAACGCCUCAAUCCCCACAACCUUACUCUGCUCCCGCACCAUUGUCUUUCCCUUCAUCUUCUCCACCGCCAUUUGCUAUCCCUUCUGCUGCUCCCCCGCCAUUCACUUUCCCUUCAUCUUCUCCGCCUCCAUUUUCUUUCCCUUCUGACUCUCCACCACCAAUGCCCUUCUCAAUGGCGCCUGAACUCCCUCCCUGUAACCCUAUAGAUUAUAAUGUGGCGCCGGCGCCGUCGGCUGUAGGGGUGGUACAGAGGCUGUGGUGUGUAGCUAAGCCAAAUGUGCCAGCUGAUACUUUGCAGGAGGCAAUGGACUAUGCCUGUGGUGAAGGCGGUGCUGAUUGUGAAGAGAUCAUGCCUCAUGGGAACUGUUUCUAUCCUGACACUGUUGUUGCCCAUGCCUCUUAUGCUUUCAAUAGUUACUGGCAGAAGACCAAGAGAAAUGGAGGGACCUGUGCCUUUGGUGGGACUGCUAUGCUAAUCAAUGCUGAUCCAAGUAAGCUUCUAAGAAACUAAAAAUUACUUAUAGCCUUCAUGUAUUCAUUCAGAGUUAAAAGUGUUUUGAAGGUCUAGUGGGUCCUUUCUCCUAAUUCUUUGAGAAUUGGUUGUUUCAGGUUUUCUUCACUGUAGGUUUCUUCUCAGUUGAAGACAGCAAUGCAAAUGGUUAUGGAGAAUGUUGGGAUCAGUGGGGUCUAAUUCCGGGGUGAUUUUCUUGAGCUUUUUUUAGUAUAUUGCUUGUAUGAUGAAGUAGUAUUUAGAGAUUUUGCUUUCUUUCUGACUGCUGUAUUUAUGGGGGUACCCUAGGCAGGCAACAAGCGGAAGGACUCUUUUGACUAAUAUGCUUUUGCUUUAUCCAAUAGAUCUUGCUUCUCUUACAACUUCAAAUUUUUAUUUGCCCGUUAUUUUGGCAAUUCUCUUUAUAGCAUUUGACGAGGCUUGCUAAGAAGAUGUGAGUUUAAAUUGGAUUUACUAGUGAGUUGUCGUCUAUCAUAUCAUAUGGACAUGAUGCAUAAAAUUAAUUGGCUGCUUCAAACCAUUUUGUUUCUCCAAUUUGGUACGUAAUUGAUAAGGAUCAUCGAUUAGGGAUAUAAAACAAAUAGGCUUAACCAAAAGCUUCAUAUAGAAACAAAAUGAAUUUUAUAUAAGUGAAUUUUGUUGAAUACAGUGGAUUUGGAUGAUAGAAUUGAGACUGAGUGCACUGUGUGAUAUCGUUUUAUUCAACUGAUGGAUGUAGAAACUUGCUAACCACCAAUUUUCUUCACGGAUGCCAACUAUAGCAGAGCCUUGACAUCGUUUUAUUUGGAUGAUAGAAUUGCUAUCACAUGCUGAAGAGCAUUCAUGCAUUGAGAUGUCAAUUGUUAAGAGUGCCGGUGUAUACUGUAUGCUUGCCUGCCUACCAAGUCGGUCAAAGCUCAUUAGCCCUUUCACAAAUGGUGAAAAACUGCAUCGGUUUGGAAUCAUAAUUUAGAAAUCUUGUUUUGAGCCAACCAAUCAAUUCCGAUAGAGCAAGUCUCUUAACUAAAAAAGUUUCUAUCUUUUGUAAGAAUAAAAGUGAAAUACAUUGAUCAAUAGUACAACUGAAUGCAUUUACUUACCAAAAAGUCUUGGGACUGCUUGAAAUUAACAGGACAAUUUUUUUCCAUUGUUAUUUGACCUUAGUUACAUAAUCAUAAUUCACAAAAUCUCAUGUGAUGUGGGUUGACUCGAAAGCUAGAGCUAUUAGAUAAGGACCUAAGAUUUUGCCGUUUUACACUUAAUUACCAUGAACUUAAUUGCUUUGGAAAAUGUAUGUUCAUUGUUGUGCCCUCUACGUCUUCUUCACUCUCUGUUUCAUUGCUAUUAUUUUCUUUCAUCUAAUAAUAUAAUUUUUUGGAACUUGGGAUAAAUUGGAUAUCUAUUGUGACUAAUCCGAAUGAGUGCUUCUGGCACUUAAUAUAAUAUCUGUGCGAGCUUGAUUUAUUUAGUGCUAUAUCUAUAUAUGUAUAUGCAGAUUCUUUAAAUUCUUUAUUUAUUUUCAUUAGAAAUUAUAUAUUAUAUUAUCAACUUGCCUUCAUUUUUACAAGCAAAGUGGAUUUUCUGGAAGGUCCCCCGAGCAAGGUGAAUCUUGGUCACUGCUUGAAACUCGUUCAAGCAAGGCCCGGCUUGUAUGAGUCAGCUUCAGGCCCAGGGGGACUAUUGUUACUAAGAUUAUUCCAACGCACGGAUAAAUAAUACUAAAAAAAAAAAAAAAAAAAAAAANNNNNNNNNNNNNNNNNNNNNNNNNNNNNNNNNNNNNNNNNNNNNAAAAAAAAAAAAAAAAAAAAAACUUAAGACAUAUCAUAAGAACAAAUGACAAAUGAGAAUAAAUUUGAAGUCAAUGGUAUUGACUGACCCGAAAGCUUAAGCUAUUCGCAGUCAUUAGAUGAAGGUUAGAGGCUUUAAACCACAGCACACCUUAUUGCUGCGUGUAGAGAGGUUCAGACCAAUUGUUGUGCCCGGUCCCCAGUCUUGUUUCAUAUCUAAAUUGUGAGAGAAAUGAACCAAGCAGUACACCUGUCCUUGAGCAGAGAGUCCGUUUGCCAGCGAAUACGGAUCAUAUGAUGCUACUGAUGCGAGGAGGUGCAACCAGCCAGUAGCACAUUAAAAUUACAAAAAGAUUGCAGGCUUGCAGCAAAUAAAGAUUGGGCCUCUGGGCAACCCAAGUACACAGGUCCUGUCUCAAUUACUCUUAUUUUCUUUUGAUUAGGUAACAUCUCAUCCUAACACCAGUCCAGCCACUACUGGUCAAGUUAAUAACGAAGAGCAGCUUUUGUUCUGCUGGAUGAUCCAUCAAAGGAUAAUCUUGUAUAUGACAUUUUUAGAAAUCAAUUUAGAAAUAUUUCUCCAGACUUACUUUAGAUCUUUGCCUGUCAUUGUGAACAACAGAGAGCCAGCUAUAUAAGAAAGGAUGUGCCAAUCUUUCUGUGCAAGUUGCCCUCCAGUUAUUUCAACUAGGUUGUUUCUAAGUGGAACUUAACUCGAUUAUUUACGGUGACUAAUAACGAGCAAGAAAAAACUGGCAUACCUACCUAGAUAUCGGAAAAUAGUUUAUAAAAACAAAACCAAAAAUAUGUUUGUCUCUAAUCUCUCACCAAGUGUUUAAAAAGUACCGAGUUCAUCUAGUAAAUAUCACAUAAAUACAUAACUAUAGUGGUUUGAAAUUCAUUAUUCGUACACAUAGCUAUAAGCUCGUAAAAGUUUUAUCCAUUCCUGAACCUGCAAAUGAUAAAAAAAUGAGAUUUCAAGCAAUUUACAAUUGUGGAAACAAAUAGUUUGAUACCUUUCCGUUUACUAUUGUGGAAACAAAUACUAAAAUCCAAUAUCAAUUAAGAUUGGUAAAAUGUCGGGCAAAGCCCGCUCGGCCUAAACAUGUCUUUUUUGGAACCAAACUAGGCCCAACUCGAAUCAAACUUCUUUCGGGCCUAGCCCAGAAACCAAAAUUUUACAUUCUACACUUUUUUAAUUUUUUAAUAUGUUUUGUAAAAUUUUAAUUUAUAAAAUUUAUUUUUUAAAUUGAAAUAAUAUAAUUAUAAUUUAAAAAAAAAAUUCGAGUAUUUAUAAAACGUACUUGGGUCAAGAAGGCUUUUCUUAGAUAGUAUCUGAUAUUGAUGUAAAUGAUGCUUGUGUCAAUAGAAAAAUAUACGGACUAUGAAAUUUGUAUGAGCAAGAAAAUUAAAGAAAUUAUAAUGCAAUCUUUAUAUUUAUGGAUAAAAAAAGUCCAGUAAGUUUUGUAUAAUUUUGUGGAAUGGGUGUUAGAAAAUGAAGAACAAAAAUUAUAAAAGCGAAAGUGUCUUCCCUUUCAAUUGUUCAUUGAAAAAAAAAAAAAAAAAUUCACAGAAGAGCAAUGGUGUAUAAUAGUAAUUAUGGUUGUACGACUAUCUCAAACACAACAAAAUAAAGACUUCAAUUUUAAGAAAGAUUCACAAUUUUCAUGGUCCUAAAACUUCUUUCAAACCUGAUAAAGAUUAAAUUUUUGUCUCAUCAAAGGAUUCUCGUCGUUCCAUCUGCUCCUUUUAUUGGUGUGAAGAAUUUCAAUUCAAAGUGUGAGCGCGAAGCUUUAAAUAGACAUGACUUUGUCUUCUUAGGUAAAAUUUCACCUGGGGAUAAAAAUGUAAAUAUAUUCACAAAGAGUUUGGGGGAGGGGGGGCUGCUAAUAGUUCAACUCUUUAACAGGUCCUUCUGAACCGAAUGGCCUCUGCGCCAGCCGGCCCCUCUCAUUACAUGGACUCAAGUCUGGUGGGUAAUCAUGAUGUCAAGAGCUUUCAUUUGCAUUCUUGCCUUUUAGUAAUUUACCCAUCAGUAAAAUGAUGACAUAUAUAAUAUAUAUAUGCCACGCGCAGAUGAAAUAGCAGAAUCCGAUCGACCUACUUUUUAAAUGGAAUCUGUCUUUUAGCAGAUUCCAUUAACAGCAGGGAACAGAAGACACAACUGUCCACCAGCUAGCCUUAAUGUAAUGGCAAUUCAGGAAUCUCCAUGACUGAAUGUCUAAAGAGAAUUGCUGAAUCCUGAAUCAUGUACAAUGAUGGACUGAGCUGUGUCUCAUGUUUUGUUUGCUUCUUGUUUUUCUCCCAUACAAAAUUAAAAAAAAAAAGCCUGCAGCCAAUGCCAAGCACCCCUACUCUCUCUCUCUUUUUAAUUCCAAAAUAAUUCAAGUUUCAAAGUUCAGAAUAUAUCAUCAACAGUAGUAUUAAUGCGUCUUAUCAUGCAGUAUUGGUGAUACCGAGUGGCCGUCGCCGUGGCCCCCCUUCAUCACUGUUUGUCGUCUUGCUAAUCUCAGUCUGUAGAUUCUUCUGUGCGGUGAUCAAUCUCUUUUGUCCACUUAUGUUCAUGGUCGCUUCUUCAAUUUAUAUAAUCAAUGACUAUAAUCUCUCUCUCUCUCUCUAUAUACUCUCCUACAAAUUAAAAUUACCUAACAAUUAUUAAUUGAGUGUUUAUUUCGUAAAUUUAAGCUUUGUUUGGCAUCUUAGUUGCGGCUCUAAGGCCACAUCUUCUUCUGUGGAUGGAAGUUCUAAUAUUAAACAUCACUAACUAUGAUUUGUGAAGUAAAAGUUAUUCGUUAAAAACCAAAGUUGCACAUUUAAGCUUAUCAAUACAAAUGGUUGUGAAGGAACUAACAUAUGUUAUAUUUAUAUAGAUCUGAUGAUCAUGUGAUAGCUGAAUGGAGGCAUGAUGAAUUCUGGGAAAGAUGAUGAGCAAAACCAUGCACGGUCAUUAUUAUGGUUGGUUACUUGGCACUUCAAAGAAACUACAAUAUAAUAAUUAUAAAGCUUAAAAGAAUAUCGCAAACUCUGAAAAAGAAAAGCCUAACUCUCCGGAAAAUGGUCCGUCAAGAUUAAGGACCACACAGAUCGAUCGUUUGAAUAAUGUUAAAACUCUCUGUCACGGUAUAUAUAUAUAUAUAUAUAUAAUGAUCAGGUUACAUGUAAUUAUAUCAUAUCACAUCAACAAAAAUUGAUACUGGCAACUCAACUGUAUAUAUUAACAAUAAUGAUAUUUGCACGGCUCGUGAAUUAAUAUAUACAAAACCCUAACUGCAGCAACUCGGUCGAUAAUUUCAGUAAUUUGAGUAGAAAUCAUGGCAGUGGCAGAGCACAUUAAUAUAUGUAUAUAUACGUAAUUUUUUUCUCACUGACGCAAGCAUUGUCUGAUCAUGUACGAAAAUAAAAUACUAAAAAUAAUUUUUAUAUUCCGUGAUUACGGGUGGGUUAGAGACUUUGACAGUCCUCUCUAAUAUUCUUAAACACACUCCAAAUAAUAAUUUCAAGUAUGCAUACAUACAUACAUACAUACACACACACACACAUAUAUAUAUAUAUACACAUGCGCACAUUUUUGUUCGGAGUCAGGAAGAGAAACACUUUCGAUCUUUCGGGGAAAAAAAUGAAGAGAAAACACUCGAGUCUCGACGACAUAUGCUUCUUCAAAGAGUACUAUAAUUUUUUUUUUUUGGUUAAAAAAAUUAUUUCUUGUUCUUUAAUAUAUUGAUCUUUAUUCUCAAGUUGAGUUUUUUAAUUUUAUUUAAUUUUAUUUUAAAUAUCUAGUUAAAAAAUUAAGAACUUAUAGAUAAUUAUCCCAGUGCCGUGAACAAAAUCACUUUUGAAACCGGAACUUCAUGCAUGCAUAUGUGUUUUCUUUAUUAAAUUAUUGAAAUGAUUAAACGGCUAAUCAACAUCAUUCGCUGCAAAUUCAUUGAACCCCGAUUACUGAGAUUAAUUUAACUUUAUACAUAUUAUUAUAAAUAUUAUUAAUCUUUUUGUGUCAGGGAGAUCUUUUUCUUUUUAAUUAAGUUAUCACUUGAAAACAUUGAGUAACAUGAUGAGUUCAUGGUCCUCACUUGAUGCGCAUAGGUUCCCAAUGCUCUUUAUACUCAUUUCUAUGACUAAACAUAAGAAUCCAUGGUCAUGUGCAUUGCCAUAAUUACCUAAAUUUGAGUAACAAAUGUAUAUAAAGCUUCUUCGUCUUUUUAUUUUUUUUUCUGCCUGAAUUAAUGCUAAUAAAGUAGUCUGUGUAUGAAUUGUAUAUAUAAACAAAUGUAUCUUUAUUUUUUUAAGAAAAAAAAUUAUAUAUAUUCGAGUUCGAGUUCUCUCGUUUUUAAUAAGUUUGAAUAGAAUCAGCUCCCAACACUCUUUAUUAUAAAUGCUUUUUUGGUGCUUUGCUGUUCUUACAAACAGUUUCAUCAGUUCAAUCAAAUUUGAUAAAACAAAGUUUAGUAAUCUUCUAACUAUCCAAAAACAUUUUCCUCUAGAGGAGUAAUAGGGUCCAAAGAAGUACCUAAAAAUGGUGAAGCAAUAAAGGAGCACAGUCCUAUCCUAAAAUUCAGGAAUUUGCGAUAUAGCCAGAAGGAUAUAUAGCUUCCAAUAAAGUACUAGAACUACAUAAAGAUAAUGCCUUGCAAAAAUCUUCACCAGAAACACCACAUGGUGAUGGGUCAAUUGUUCACACACUCCAAACACAAAGUGACAUUCAUAAUUGUUUCAAGUGGGCACAUACAUCUACAAAGCCUGUGAAGCUCCAAGUUAUCGACAUGUAUGUGUGAGCAUGACAUUUCAGUCUCCACAAGCUCACCCACACUCACAGGGAAGCAUAUCCAAAAAAAAAAAAAAAAGCCUCUACAAAACAAGAGAGAUCUUUCCAAAAUAAUGUGCCCCGAAUAUUUGUCGGAUUUAAUUAAGAGGCCCCGAAAUUUUUUAUUAAUCAACAUCUCAUUGUGCGUAGCAUAGAAUCUACAGGGGCUCAGUGUCUGUGAAUAAUGCAUCUGCAUCAUCAGGCGAGCGUGCAACCCAUAUAAAAAUUUAAAAAGAUUAUGCCGGACUGUGAAGAUAAUUGAUGCAAAGUGAUGUGGUAAUAUAAAUAAAACUGAGCAUUAUCAUCGGGAUAAGUUAAUUAAAGGUUGGGGAGAAUGUGAUAAAUUCAUAGUGACUAUGUAUAAAUAUAGGUUUUGUGAAUGUGAGGUGAGAGGAAUAUAAAUGUAGUUGAUGAAAUCGGAUAAGGGGAAAUUAAAUAUUGCGGUCUCAAUUUGUCCACUGGGAAGAAGGAGAAGAGAUACUUCAUAAUUUUGAUUGGACUAAUUAAUUAAGAAAUUAUAAAAUAAAUGAAACAUUCAUGAAUGGAUUUUUUUUUUUUAAUCCUGCUGUCGGAUUCAUAGAUACGAAAGCAUAUAGCUUAAUUCACGAGAGUCAAAUGAACCAAGACCAAUGUAUUACUUGUCUGCUGUUUAAUAAAGUUCAUGCUAAAAUAAUUUUUUAAGGAAUUUUAUUUAAUUAACCCUUUGAGUUUAAAUUUUAAUGCUUUUCAAAUGAUUAUCACACUAAUAAAUGAAUUGGUCGGUAUAAAAUCCAUUGCCACGCUAAUUAAUUUAUUGUAUAUCGAUAAAACAAAAAAGCUAGCGAAUAAAUUAGUGGAAAGGAUAUUUAUAUCAACACUUCAUCUCUUUGAAAUAUUUUUGUACAACGCACAAAUUUAUUUACCAUAUGAAUGAUUUAAAAUGAAAAAAAAAAGUUAUAUCUUGUCAAUUGUUCAUAAUCCAUGUUUAGAUAUCUUUAGUUCUGUAUUAAAAAUAGUAAUAAUAUUAUUAACAUACUAGAUUCCUUAGAAUGAAUCAUUUAUUAAUUGAGUGUCUUCAUUUUCCUUUUUUAUCCGGACACACAAUUAAAUUAUAAUUAAUUUUUAAUUUAUUAUUAAAUUAUACAAUUUAAUAAAAUUAUUUUAAUUAAUUAUAUUAAAUUGUAUGAUUAAAUAGUAUGUUCACACAAAAAAAUAUAUAAAUACGUAUAUGAAAAUGAUUAUAUAAAGAGAGGGGGGUGCUUUAAUAAGUAAUGGGGAUAUUUUAACGUAAUAUUACAGCGGAAAUAGAAAAUGUAUAAAUGAAAAAAGAAGGUAGACAAAAGAAAAGUGGCCAAGUUCGAACUGAAAAGCCAUCACUAAUCUAAGACCAUGUGAUGAUACCCAGAAUCCAGCCGAAGGUCCACUUAAUAUUGUAAUUGAAUGAGCCGAUAAUAUCGGCAAUCAAUCAUAUUAUCGCGAGAGAAGAAAAACAGGAGGCAGCAACUAAAGUUGAUUUUUGUGGGUGGUUUGAUAUUUUCAUUUUCUAAGAGAGGUUAGUGGUUCAAGUCUCACUCUCGUAUGGAGUCAUUAUUUUAAGCAGUACUUUACUCCUUACGAAUCGAUCCGAUACAAACAUUGAUUAAUUUAAAUUAUGAUAUAAAUUUAAAAAUAUCUUUAACAAUUAUAGCCUAUUUAAGACCACCUCGUGAUUAAAAAAAAAAAACAGGAGGCAGCCUUAGUAGCAAGUAUCUUUUACUCUUUUAAUUUUCAAAAUGUUUAAUUUAAUAAAGAAGAAAAAUGAGAUGGAUGGCAUUAUUAUCAAAGUACGCGCGCGGCGAGAGGAUGGACGUGGAUGGGUCGUUUUCUGGUACACGGGGGCUGUUUCUCACUAAAACGGAGGUAAAGUAAAGCAAAGAAAUGGGAUGGAGUCCGAGUCAGUGUGUAAAUUGUAAUUUGUGUUACACAAGGGAAACAUCGAAGUUGUGUCUUGUCAGUCUUGGCGUGCAUUUACAUUGUCUUUGUUAUCGUGGGGGCCUCAUGUCAUGCUCUUGCUCGUGCAUGCUUUUCUAAUUCCCUUCUCAUCAUCUUAUUCUUUGUCUCUUGGACAUGAUAAAGCAACAACCCUCCUUUACUCUUUAAUAACUUUCUUUCCUGUGGUUAAAUCUUAUAAUUAUUAUUAAGUUUUGCAAAAUCAAUUAAAAGUAAAGAGAGAGAGAGAGAGAGAGAGAGAGAGAGGCGGUGCUCGUGCUGAUUCAAAGGAAAGAGAGGGAGGAGAGGGAACAUUCUGGGUUCUGGCUUUAUGUGUAAGCAGUGGUGCCUGUCAAAAGAUGAGGAAAGGAUAAAUCUUUUUGAAGGGUGGAGAGGGGGUCUAUCUUUUGGGGUUUCUCUUUGUUGGGUGGGUUAUUUUGUGUUAUGUGGGGUUCUUUCUUUUGUGUUUUCUUCUGCUGAGAUGGGACUGUUAAUCCUCAUACUCUGAGCGUCAACAUUGUCAUUUGUCAUACGGAUGUUUGAUUCUUUGUACUUGACAAUUCGCUCAUUUUAAAGAGAAUCGCGCUUGCUAGAUUUCUUCUGAAACCAUUUCAAGGUAAGCUAACACUGAGCCCAUCAUAUAUAUUAGAUACUAUUGAAUUUGUCAUCUGGGACUGGGACUGACCCUGGCUUUGUCAUUCUUUCGUUUGAGGAGGGUACUUUUCCUUUCCUCUGACUCCUCGUUUUUGCAAUUUGUGGUUUGAUUAUUCUGUGUCUGCAUGAGUAUAGCUGAUCUUAGUUAUUUAUGUGAGAGCGAGACCAUUAAUUUUCUGUAGUUAGGUAUGUUUAAAAUCUAACAUGUUGUGGGAAAUGACACGGAGAGAUUUUUUUUGGGUUGUGUUUUCAAGCCGAGCAGGAGUUCUAGCUUGUUGGCCGAUUCUUAGUUCUUUAUUUGGUCAAAAAGAACAGGGUUUUUUAAUUCAUUUUUCCGUGUUAGAAUCCGCAAAUGUUAUCCGUUUUUCAGCACUUUCUUGAAACAACUUUGUUGGUAUUGAUAAUUGAUGUUCACUUGUGUUACCAUCUUUUCAGAAAUCUCCAAAAUUAGUGCUAAUUGUCAACCGUUUUGGUAGUUUCUUCAACUCAUAUCGAGAUACGCUGUUUCUUUGUUGCAGGUUGUGUUGUAGUUUCAAAGAAUUAAAAGAGCAAAGGUGAGACUAUGAUUUUGUAUUGUAAGGGACUGUAUCAUGAUUUUGUAUUGUAAGGGAAUGUAUCUGAGUUUUGGGUUUUGAACUUUGUGGACCAAAAAAAGGCAUUGGUGCUGGUAUGAUCCUUUGAAAAAAGAAAACAAAGGAAGAAUAGUUAAAAAAUUAUGUUAAGGGCGGUGGUGUCAGUUUUGAGCUAGUGGGGGUGUCUCUGGUUUUGAGAAUUAUAUAUGUUUUGAGAGUCUUUAGGCAUUGUCUCCUUAACACUCUUUAUUUGUCCGGGGUCCUUGGCCUCUGUUGCCAACUGAGGAAGCAAACACUUCUUUGAGUCUCUUCACAUUCAAGUGAACAUUUUAUUGAUAUAUUACACUUUUACCACUUUCUCUUUCUUUCUUUGGCCUUGGUUUGUGGGAAAGAUUCGGUCAUACUAAGUAAUUCACCAGAUUUUGCUUUGAUCCAUUUUAUUAUUAUUCUAACGCCAGAGAAUUCUUAAAAUUCUGUGGUUAGAUUCCCACUUCUGUGGUUUUACUUUAAGUCUUACUGGCAAUUUGGUUCUGAUUGUCGGUCCAGGAAUUUGAAGAUUGGAAUCUUUGGACAGAAAACUGAGGAACUGAUCUUUCAUUUGGCAAAAUGAAGUUUAUGAAACUUGGAUCCAAGCCUGAUUCAUUUCAGACUGAGGGGAACAAUAUCAGGUAAAUCUUUUUGAUCUCUGAUUCUAUCGAGAGCUACUAAUUUUACUUUUCUGUUUUGCUAAUUUAUUUUACUUGGUAACUGGGAAAAUUCCCAGUUGGUUUUGUGUUGUUGGAGGAUGUUUGUUGGGUUUUUUAGUUCUGAUAAUUGAUCAAGCUUCAAAUGGCUAAGCCUUCUCUGAGAAAAUCUGAAAAGUUAGGAAUGAGAGAGUCUGUGUAGAAUCAUUGCAAGCAUUAUGCCAUUGGUUUAGUAGAUAAAGAUGUUGUCUUCCUUGUGCCUUCAAGUAUGUAGAGAAGGAAAUAGACACCGCACUAAGAAAAUUUUUAGCUUGAGACUUGUUCAAGUCAUUUAUCUAUGGAAUCAAAAGAAAUCUGGCAAAUUUUUUGUUAUUGUUAAUAUGACAAUAGUGACAGGACUGACUCACUACAUUUUCAAGCUACCUUUUCAAGCCUGGAUUUUCAUAGUACAAUGACUAUAUAGAUAAUAAAAAGUAAAGCAGCAUAAGCUCACUUUCAUUUUUUCCUUCAUUAGAAUUAAGUAGUGUUCUCCGGAGAAUAAUAGACAUGUAGAUGCAUAAAACAGCUAUUUUAGCGUGCAAUCCUCUGUGAGUUUUUGCAAUCUGCUGUAUUCCUAGAAGUUAAAAGGGUUGAGAUGUUAGCUUCCAUAUAGUUUGUCAAAUGGAUGUCAAUUAAUUAUUCACCUUGUGUUAAUCUUCUUAUUAUCCAAUAACAAAGUUAAGCUACAAUAACAACAAGAUGCUUUGCAAAGCAAAUCUAUUAUUUUUACCAGCAAAGAUCUCUAUCACUAGAAAGAAAUUUUAGUUUCUAGGACUUGUUAAAUUCAAACAGAAAGUACACAUGAAAAAAUCUCCAACAAAUGCACAUUUUUAUCUUAUUUACUUUCUUCCUACUUGGUAGACUUUACUUGUGCUCACUGUAAUGCUUUUUCCAUGAGGUCAGAGAUUCUUGGAUAUUGCUUGAAAGUUAAAUGCAUUGGCUUUAGUUUUAUUUAAUUUCAAUUUAGCUGUAUGCCUGUAUUCUAUGGAACGUGGACUGCACUUUUUGCACCAUCUGCCACAUGUGGGUAUUUUUUUCCCACAUGUUUGGAGAGAGCUUCUUAAAAGAUAUAGUUGUGCUUUCAUCUUUGUGAGUUAACUUUAUUGUUAAUAUAACCUGACCAACAUCUUUGUGUACAGAUAUGUGGCAACUGAGUUGGCAACAGAUAUAGUUUUUAAUGUUGGGGACGUGAAAUUUUAUCUGCAUAAGGUAUGAAUUACAUAUGAUAAGGUAGUUCCUUGAUUACAACUUACCAUUCACAUUUAUGAGAUACCAGUUUUAAAAAAAAAAAUUAGUUCUUCAACUUAACAAUUUAGUACAUGUAUCUAGAAAAGCACAAAUAGGAUCUGUCUUUCCUCCUUUUCCCAAAAUCUCGCCCCAUUCUGGCAUGAUUAGCACGUUCUCUUUUUUUGAAUCUUAUGGAUUAUUAGGAAUUGAGACUAGAAUUUGAUUCACUUGGGCGAAAUUGUCUAGAUCCUAAUUUUCUCUUCUCACUGGUCUGUGGAGUCCAUGGACAACCAAUUGCAGGUCUAAGUUUCUAACCAUUUGAUUUGUGCCUGUUAAUAGUCCUAUUUACUUUACCAGUCAGAGUGGCCUGAGUUUUAGAAACACUAAUUUAAUCUUACUUGUAUUGGCAUACACUUGUGUGUUAGUUGCUUGUUGGGUAUUUAGUAAUAUCUACAAUAUUUGUGCAGUUCCCCCUUCUAUCCAAGAGUGCACGCCUUCAGAAGUUGGUUGCAGCCACAAAUGAUGAUAACAGUGAUGAAAUGCUCAUCCAGGAUAUUCCUGGUGGACCUGCUGCUUUUGAAAUAUGUGCUAAGUUCUGCUAUGGCAUGACAGUCACUCUUAAUGCAUACAAUGUGGUUGCUGCUCGAUGUGCAGCAGAAUAUCUGGAGAUGUAUGAAACAGUAGAAAAAGGAAACCUAAUUUAUAAAAUUGAAGUCUUCCUCAACACUAGCAUCUUCCGUAGCUGGAAAGACUCAAUCAUUGUUCUUCAAACUACGAGGUCUCUUCUGCCAUGGUCUGAGGAACUUAAGGUGGUCAGCCACUGUCUUGAUUCCAUAGCUACAAAGGCCUCAAUUGAUACUUCCAAGGUGGAGUGGUCAUACACCUAUAACAGAAGAAAGCUCCCGUCGGAAAAUGGAAAUGAUCCACACUGGAAUGGUAUGAGGAAACCCCAAUCAGUUCCAAAGGACUGGUGGGUAGAAGAUCUUUGUGAACUUCAUAUUGAUUUAUAUAAGAGGGUUAUAUCAACAAUCAAAACAAAAGAACGAGUCUCUGCUGAUGUAAUUGGAGAAGCCUUGAAUGCAUACGCCCUCCAAAGGUUGCCAGGAUUUGGCAAGGGAAUGAUCCAGAAUGGUGAUGUAACUAAGUAUAGAUCAUUGGUGGAGACCAUAAUGUGGCUGCUACCUACAGAGAAAGGUAGUGUUCCCUGUGGUUUCUUGCUUAAGUUGUUAAGGGCAGCAAUUAUGUUGGAAUGUGGAGAAACGGAAAGGACAGAGUUGAUGAGGAAAAUUGGUCAGCAGCUAGAGGAGGCUACAGCGGCUGAUCUUCUGAUUCGAGCUCCAUCUGGAGACACAACUGUGUAUGAUGUUGAUACAGUGCAAAGCCUCGUUGAAGAGUUUCUGGCAUAUGAACAGAAUGCUUACAGUGAUCUUUCCCUGGAAAAUGAAUUCCAGAAGAUUAGAAGCCCCCGAAUGACUUCAGAUGCUUCCAAAGUGAAGGUUGCAAAGGUGGUUGAUUGCUACCUAGCUGAAAUUUCGAAGGAUCCCAACUUACCUCUUGCAAAGUUUGUUAAUCUUGCCGAAAUUGUAUCUAUUUUCCCAAGACAGUCUCAUGAUGGACUUUACCGUGCUAUCGACAUGUAUCUGAAGGUAAGUAGCAGGUUUUCUAGUGUCUGCAGAUAAAUUUAUAUUUUAUUUUUCCUCGUAUCUUCCACAUGCAUGACAAGUGUCUGCUGAUCAUUACACAGCUCGCUGCUACUGAUACAAAGUAUCAACUUUGUUACCGGAAUAUAUAAAGCUGUGAACUUAAAAUGCGAGUGCAGGGUGUAUGUGCAUGGAUUUAAUGAAGGCUAUUGGUUUUGAAUUAACUUCUCUAAUAUAUCUGAUACAGGAGCACCCUGGGAUCAGCAAAAGUGAGAGGAAGAGAAUAUGCAGGUUGAUGGACUGCAGGAAAUUAUCAGUAGAGGCCUGCAUGCACGCUGUGCAAAAUGAGAGACUUCCCUUGCGGGUGGUUGUUCAAGUCCUCUUUUUUGAGCAGAUACGAGCCACGGCAUCAGCUGCUGGCAACAGCACACCUGACCUACCAGGGUCCAUUAGGUCCUUACUCCCCGGUGGGUCUCAUGGAAGCUCAAGGUCGACUACAACGAACACCGAGGAGGACUGGGACUCAAUCCCGACAGCUGAUGAUAUCCAGGCUUUGAAAGGAGAGAUCGCUACCCUGAGGUUAGCAGGUGGUAACAGUGAUAAAAAUGGGAAUGAUGGUUGUAAAAUUGAUGCUGAGAAAGUCACUGCCGGUAAAAUGAAAGGCAUUCUCAUGUCAAAAAUAUUUUCAAAGCUCCGGUCAAGCAAAGACAAAUAUGGUGAAAUCAGCAGCUCCGAUACAUCAGAGAGCCCAAGUCCUGGUUCUACAACCGCAGAGGAAACCAAGUCUACCCCAUCUAGAAGUAGGAGGCACUCAGUAUCUUAGUCAUUGGCAUGCUCAGUAGAAUCAGCGCACGCCUUGUUUGGCCUGUAUAAUUGUAUCACUUAUUUGACCAUUAGGAUAUUAGAAACCACUGACUUUAUCCUGGGAUAUUUUGAGCAACAGAAUCAUGUUGAAGGGUUGUGGUUGUGGGGAAAAUGAAUUUCUUUUGGAUGUCAACUUUUACUUUGGCCCCUCAAGAGAUUAGAGGUUCUGGAAAAGUACUGAUUGUUGAUCUUUCUUGUGUUAGAGAUAGGCUGUGACGGUGAACCAGUUUUGCUGUACUAUGAACAAGACGGAAUCCCAAGUUUCUGCUUGCUUUUCUUUUCUUUGGUUGCCUUUUUACAUCGUUUUAAAAAGCUUAUGGCUUUGCAGCCACGCUUGCUUCCACUGCAAGGCCACUCUAGGAUCUAGGAAUGCCCUCUUGAUGGAGAGUGGAUUAUUCCAAUGAGAAUAUGGAAUAACAGAAUAAGCCUGGGCCGGCGAAAGACUGUGCAUUAGCCCAUAAAUGGGGCCCAAUUUGGGAGAAUAUAGGCCUAAACCGAGGAGCUGCCUGCAUCAAGAACCCAACUCUUCUAGGGCAGAUAAUCUCUUCGCAAAUGUGGAAAGAGCAUAUGCAUCCUUGAAUAUUAAGUACAAAUAUUUAUAGACUUCUAAUUAUAAUGUCAAAAAUUAAAAAAAAAAAAGGUCACCUGCAAUUAAUUAAGUGGGAAUUUUUUUUCUUUAAUCUUGUUAAAAAAAUUAAGACAUUACAACUUAUCCAACAUUCAGUCUUUUUUAUUAAAUCACGCUAAUUUUUCCUUUUCUUAUUGUUGAUUAUUCAAUUGCUCUUGUCAACUCUAAUUUGAAAAGAUAUCUCACUAUUUACUAAUGGAAAUAUCAACAGCGGCAGAAGCAUCUGCAUGUAAAGGUCGUUUUGACAAUGCUAUCUUCCUAAUUUCUUGCAUUCUGGGACCUAAUUUCCCCACUCUAAGGUCUAGAUUUGAUGACUUUUUGACUUGAAAAUCGAAAGCCCAUGAGCAACCCAAUCUACAUCCAUGGCCAACUAUUUUUAAUUUCGAGCCCGUUCUCACCUAAAAGAACCAUACAUAUCAUUUGGACUGGGCAAAAAGUACAUGCACUCAGUCAACCCACAUUUAUGGAAUCACAUGAGCCAAAAAUGCUGAUUCAAGUUCAAAAGAUGCCCUUCCAAGUAUUUGCCUUGCUAUGAUCCCGCGACACCCACCACCAAAAAAGGGAAAAAAAAAAUGACAACCCACUUUAGCUCUUCAGCCAUUGACUUCAAUGGAAGACUUGAACCAAAAAGAUAAUAAAGCAAAGUCGACGAAAAAUUUACUUGCCGAUGUUGUUAAUGUCUCCUCCACCGCCCUCAUACCUAAACCACCUCCAAAUUUUUUAGUGAACUAUAAAAGGGCAUUGGCCAAAGUGACCGACCAUUGAAGAUUUUUAUUGGGCUUUUCAAUCGAACCUAUUUUCAUUGGAACAACUUUACUUGAAGAAAUUGGCAUUGUUGGAUUGGAGAGCGGGCUUUCAUACGUAUAUGAUAAGUUAAUUAAUUAUAAUUAGGCUUAUAACUUUGCAUUAAUGAAAACAACCUCUAGUCAAAACUUGCCGAACACUUCCUCGUCUACUUGCCUAAUUUGAACUUUAAUGAAUGGCGUGCAAGUCAUAGAAUAAUGAAAGCUUUUUCUCCUGUAAUCUGCCUUCUUUAGUCUGUGUGAAUGGAUAAAUUUAUGUUUAGUAUUAUCAAAAAGUUUCAAGGUGGGUAUGAUUAAUAUAUGAAACAAACGGUUCUGGCUAUAUUGAAACCACUCAACAAUAGAAUAUUCUUUUAUAACCACACAUUUGAAGUUAUAGUGUAUUUUUUAUUAUUUAUUACUUUGUGCUUGUGGCUAUAAUUCACGUUAUAUCUUAGAGCAACUCCAAAAUAGUAAUGGGCCCAAACAAAAAUAUCAAAGAAAUGUAUUAAAUUUUAACUUUGUUAUCUAAUUCGUCCAUUUAAAUUAUUUAAAAUUGAGCUAAUUUAAUGAUAUCGACGUCUUUUCAGUAAUGUGUAUAUGUGUAUCUAUAUAUUAUUACUGAAAAGGCAUCCAUAUCAUUAAAUUUGUAGUCAUUGUGGCACUCUUUUUUAUAAAGGAAAUUAUCAGCCAUGUACCCUUAAACGACACCAGUAUCAAACGUGUUACAACACUUUUCGCUUAUAUUACUCGUAUACCCUAAGUUGACAAAAGAGUUAUGGCGUCCACCUUUUCGUUUACUACCGUUAAGAACUUAACAGAAUUUGAGCAAAAUGACUAUUUUACCCUUUAAACUCAAAAUAAGGUAAAAAGACAAAUUUUCUUUGAAAAUUAAUGUAAAUUUUCAAUACACAAUUUUUUUUAUUUUGUUAUAAACAAUACCCUUUUUUAUUAAAAAAAUAUGAAUUAUUAAUGGUACAUAUUAUUAACAAUUAUCCAUAAAAAAUAUUCAUCUUAUACCAUAAAAAAUUAUUAACAACAUAUUAUUUACAAUUAUACAUAUUAUACCAUAAAAAAUUCAAGUUGGAGUUUGGAGGAGUAGAUCUUCAAUAAUUUAGGUUAAAUUUUGGAGGAGUAGAUUCGGUUGUAAAGUAGCUUUUUUUUUAGCAAUUAUUAACAAUUAUCCGAUAAAUAGGAUGACAUGUCAUUUUUAUCAAAAUAUAUCAUAUGACAUGUCGUUUUUUACUAGGUAAAUGGGAUGACAUGUUUUUUUUUUAAAUACUAGAUUACCCUUAUGAUGUCAGCGCUCGCAAACGGCAGUUAGCGGAUUAGUGGACGACAAAAGUAUUUUGUCAACUUAGGGUAUACGAGUGAUACACUUGAAAAUUAUUGUAGCACGUUUGAUACUGGUGUCAUUUAAGGGUAUAUGACUGAUAAUUUUCCUUUUUAUAAAGGUAGUCAAGGUGGCACUUGCUCCUGAAUGACUCAAGCUUUUCUGUUUGUUCCAUCUUGCAAUUUGGUGCAUUUGCAUAUACACUCCAUGAGAAAAACUUUGAAAGCAAG